UGUGGCCAUGGUGGAAUUGGAUGAGUUUAGUGGAUCUUGCACCCGCAGUUUUCGGGGAGGAAGUCGCGGCACCUGUACUUGGUGGCGCCCUUGCCCGUGGACACGGGGACGCAGUUCUUGCAGGUGGCGGCGCACUUGGUGAGGAGGUCGUCGCAGGUCCACACGCCCGACCAGCUGGUGCACUCGCCGCACCAGCACUGCUUCUUCGGCCCUGCGCGGCAGCAGCAUGAUGCGUACUCGCUUUAUUUCGUCCAAUCAAGCUAGUAGCCAACUAGAUGAAAUCUCGGCAAGCACGACGUACCUGCAGGUCCUUUGGCCACAGCCGCAGAGAGCAGAAGGGCCUGGAGAACUAGGAUCACCAACAGAGUGCUGCUCCUGCUCUUCAUCCUCUACGUACGUACCGCUUGUUGCCGCCGACGACUCUAGUUUUAGUUUUAGGGUGUAAACAAGAAGGCAAGCUUCGAGUUUGUCACUGCUAGUGCUGCUGAGAUGCACAUGUGCUGCUUCACUAGACGAACUCGGUACUCUCUAUAUAGGCCGGGGCGGGGGUGUCCUCUCCUGGUCGGUCGAUCGAUCGGGGACAUGCCAUGUGCGCAUAGACUCAUUGCAGUGCGGGCCCAUCUAUCUUUUUUUUAAAAUUUCUUUUUGCAAACACACGUGUUACGCGAGUCUUACUGCUAGUAGAUGCGCGGCGAGUCGUGGAGCUGAAUGCAUAUCCAUCAUUUCGUCCCUGUAGCACGCGCACUAUAUUUGGUCGUCCUAGGUCUAGCUGGUCAAAGAUGGCCUGCUGUUACGCUGACACCGGCACCAUCAGGGCAUCAUGCAGAGGCCUCAAUAAUAAUGCAUCCUAGCUUUUGGUGCAGCACGGGAUCACCGUCCCUCUUGUCGGUCGAUCUGACCGUCCGCGCGUCUCCAACUUAGAUUACAAGUGUAACGAGACAUACAUAGAGUGGUAAGAAGUAGAUCAAAUUCAUUAUACUUUAUUAAUAUCAUGCAUGCUUAUAUAAAGAUAUAAAGGGUGCUUGUUAAUUCCUUUAAGAAAAAACUGUGGAAAAAACUUAAGAAUUUAUAUAGAUUAAAUAAUACUGUCGGGGACCAUAAUUAGGGGUACCACUAGUACACAGAAGCUCUAUAGUGGCGGUUCUAAACCUAUUUACACUGGCGUUUUUCAGUACCGCCAGUGCUAGGGGUCAGUGGAAAUCAGCAUUUCCACUGGCGGUUAUUUUGGAACCGCCAGUGAAAAGUGCAUUUUUACUGGCGGUUUUCUUAAGGAACCGCCAGUGAAAAGUGCAUUUUCACUGGCGGCUGAAUAAAGAAAACCGCCAGUGAAAAUGCAUUUCCACUGGCGGUUUUAUAAAGCAAACCGCCAGUGGAAAUGCACUUUUCACUGGCGGUUUUCUUUAUAAAACCGCCAGUGGAAGUUUUCCCGCCUUUUUUCAAAAUUUCAAACAAUACUGAAUUAUAUAUAUAUUUAUUUACACACACACAAACAUAUAUAUAUAUAUAUAUAGAUCUAUAUUGAUAUUGAAAGCAACAUGAAAUUAAAUUCUAUCAUACAUUUAUAUACAUCAAAGUAUUCUGUUUACAACCAUAUAUGCUUCAUGCAUUCUAUACAUCAUAAGUUUUCACCUAAGCUCUAAUAACUAUCUCGGCUAAGAGAUAAUCUACUAAUUUCUGUUAGUAUUCUAAACUCUGGCAAAGCUAAUGUUCCGGAAGCAUCGUGAUAUUUUCCUUCUGCGGGAAUGACCUCUUUCAAUAUGAAUGUGCAGAGGUCCUCGACUAUGCCAUACAAUGCAGCUUCGGUCAAGUUCUCCGGGUUUCCUCGUUGAAAUUGCUGUAAAGGAAUUUUAUAAACAUCAUCUAUUUAUACUCAAUAAUAACACAUUUGCAUCUUUAAUGACAUAAAUACAUACUUGACUAUUACUAAUAAUACCUUGUCAGGGUUCGUGAUGUAUCGUCCGUUCACUCUCAUGAACUCGCACGCAUAGAAUCCACAUAGGACCGAUCAUUGUGGUUGCUUGUGGCACUACAUAACGGGAGAUUGGUUAUUUAGUUGCAACAUUGUGUAUGAUAUGUAUUCAUAAAAUCACAUACUUACCGGCCAGUGAUGAUGGAUGUCUAGUGGCACGAGUUUUUUCGACAGGUCGUACUUUCCACCUCUCAUCUUAUAGAAUCUAUAAGCCCUGUGAUCUCAAAUAGAAUCACCAUGUUAUUCUCAAAUUUUAAUCGAUAAAAGUAUGCAUGCAUAGAAAAGGCUUACAGCUCUAAGAUGCUGAGGAAUGUUGCAUAUGUCGAAGGGUCGAAGUUCAAGGAGUCGAGCACCAGCACCUUUCCAACCUUAGGAUAAAUGAGGAAGCAUAUCCAGUGGUCCCUGUACGAAUCAAAUUUGUGAUGCAUGUGUAUUAAAAUUAUUAAUUUUAUUUAUGCAAAAUCACACUUACUUAAAGUUGUACGGGGCCAUUAUGGCUUCCCUGUCUUGAAAUUGAAGCAUUGCAUGUCCUAUGUAGGUGGCGUAUCGAGCUUCAAAAUCCUUCUUCAUAUCCUUUAUACGCUUCUUAACUUCUUCGUCCGUCUUUCCCCGUAUUUCAUCGUUGUCUUUCCCGAUUCUAAAAGUGUGGCUUUCCUCGGAUAUAAGUAUUGGGUUGAGAUACCCAACCCUUUUACUGGCACUAGCAUUGGGCUUGGUACCGUAAAGAAUCUCCUGCUGAUCAUGUUGCAUUCUGCAAGUCACACGUGCAUGUCAGAUAUUGAAAUUUUAUACAGCUCACUAAUAAUAACACACAUAUGUGGAAGUAUGAGCGACACUUACAAUGCAAACAUCGUUACAAGUUGCACGUCGAGUCUCUGAAGGUUCAUCAUUAACCACAUGUCCUCGAAUGUAACAACGGCCUUUUGGUCCGAACCAAUAAAAGCAUGGUCUGGUAUAUGCACACUGAUGGUGUCGAUGCCAACCGAUGAUGCCCGCAUGUACCAGUCAUGCAACCUUUUAACACCAGCCGGGACCUUUCUUAGUUUCUCAAGAGGUAGCAGAGGUCUGCCCGGCACAUAUUUUUUAGGCACGUUUUUGUAAUCUGCCUUAGUUGGCUUCUUUAUCUUUGCGGCCAUUGCCUUAGCCUUUUUUGCAGACUCCUCGUGCUUGGCCAAAUCAACAGUUUGUGACGUGAGGCUCCGUCCAAUCCCUUUCAAAAACCGAGCUGUGCCAGCAGUAGUAGCUUUACUCUUCUUUUUCUGAUACAGGGACACCAAUUUUGGUAUAGGAAGUUUAGAUUUCUUUGAUGGCCUUGGAUCCUUUGAUGGUUGUGGAGAAGGUGGAUCCCUUGAUGGUGGCAUAGACAGUGGGUCACCAAGAGGAUGGGGAGGAGAAGGUGGUGGAGCCCUGAAUGGUGAUGCUUGUGGCGGAGACGGUGGGUCAGAAAAAGGAUGAGGAGCAGCAUGUGAAGUUUGAGGAGGUGAUGAUGGAUGUACAAUAGGAACAACAAUUUGAGAAGGCGGAGACGGUUGGGCCUGCGACGCCUGCGACGAAUUCGACCAAUCAAGCAAUUCGACAUCCCUUCGAGGCCAAAGGAUAAAAUUCUUGAUAGCUUGUCCAAGUUUCUCGAUACCUUCGGGCCCAGGGAUGUCUAGCAUGUCGUCCUCGGAUCCUUGGAUGACCGUCGUCACUUCUACUUUGCAAUAAUCAUCUGGAAUAUCGUUUCCAUGGAACUUGCGUCCUGGGAUCGCAAGGCCUGUGGCUACUUUCUUUGUACGUUUAUUGUUAAUACCAUAUCUUAUAACCAGUGUGCACGCCAUAGGCCUAAUGAUGUCAUCAACUGGAUAACGGUCCUUAUUUCCCGUUGAAGCAACAGAGCUUGGUAAUGUCGUACAAUCUGUGGAAGCCGGCGGUUGAGCUGCUGGAAUUAUUUGUAUCUGUGGAGUGGUCAUCUGUUGAACAGACAUCGCACUCGCCAACUGUUGCAUCAAUUCUGGAGGAGGAUUCGAUAGCAUUUGAGACAUCAUGGUUUUGAACUCUUUCUUGGCCUCCUCCUUAAAAUAAUCCGCCAUCUCUUCCUUGUAUCGAUCACGUUUCUUGUACAGACCUUCCCACUGUGGUCCGAAUCCUUCCUUCCAUCCUUCCUUAGACGAGAUUCCUCGUACACGACCAGGAUGCUCAGGGUUACCGAGACCAGCCGUUAGGAUGUCUCUUUCCCUUUGUGGCUUAAAAGUUCCUUGGCUCUGCUUAGCUGCCAUUGUAUAUAUGUUUUUUGCCGCUUCUUCGACAAUGGGAUCAUCAAAAGAUACACCGGUCUCGGUUUCCCUUGGUUUUCUAGCACGGAGCCAAUUUGCCGCCCUUUCACCAAGUUGCUCGGACAGCGUCGGCAACCCUGCGACCUUCUUCUCGGCGUCUUCUUGUGUCCAUUUAGGAACCUGAUGCUUGUAACCACCUAUGCCUAGGUGGUGGCGGUACUUGUUCUUCUUUGAUAGUUCCGAAUUUGCCUCACUUAGAGAUAUGAAAUCAGGGCUGCUCCUCUGCUCUAGAAAUACUGCCCACUGACCUGCUGAGAUUUUAUAUUUUUUGGUCGGGUCCAGACCUUUCUUUGCAAACUUUGUGUUCAUCUCAGACCUCCAGUUUCGGAAAUUGAUUGCAAGCUGCUUCAUCGUGUAUUCCUUCACGAGUUCUUCUGAACCCCGAGGCAGAACGAACCUCAUUAAUAGCUUAUUCCAUAUUUGAUUCUUGACAUCAUCUGACACAUCUCUCCACUAUCGUAUUGUUAUGUCAAGAUUAUCUCUAACUAAAAACCCAAGUGCAUUCCGGAACUUAGGUAGUGCCUCUUCUGGAGCUAGGGGCUGACCUUUCGGGCUCACGUCUGAGAUUUUGUAUGUUUUGUCGGGAAACUUGUUCAGCCCCCUGUCACCUCUUUUUCGAUCGCUCUGCUUCCUUUUCUUGACGUCUCGGUUGUUGUCUUGGUCUGUUCCGGUGCGUCUUGGGUCGGCUCCGGUACGUCUUCGUAUCGUGCCACGGCUUCUUCGAGUAUCGCACGAAAUUCAGACACGACCUCCUAUUCAUGUAAUAAAAUGCACAAGAGAUCAUGCAUGUGAAAUCAGUAGGGUACACAUACGAAGCUAAAGAUGCGUACUUUUACCUCAGCUUCUCGUGGAUCAUAAGUAGGGUCACGUUGCAACUCACGGAGAGCGGCCGUAUCUAUGCUAGUGGUAGGAAAAGGGUCGCUAGGCGUUUCAUAUCCUUCACUGCUGGAUUGUUCUUGAGCAACACUCUUGUCCAUGUGCUCGGGCACUAAUCCUUGGUCCUUGAUCGGAGAACUCAUUGAGCUAUAUAUAUACAAAUACAUAAGCAAUAAUUAAAUACAUAUUAACACAUAUUAACAUAAGCAAUAAUUAAAUUCAUAUUAACAAAUAGUAUAAUUAAAUACAUCCUCGGGCACUAAACCCUUAACCCUAACCCUAACCCAAAACCCGAACCCUAACCCUAACCCUAACCCUAAACCCUAACCCAAAACCCAAACCCUAACCCUAACCCUAACCCUAAACCCUAACCCUAACCCUAAACCCUAACCCUAACCCUAACUAUAACCCUUAACCCUAACCCUAACCCUAAACCCUUAACCCUAAUCCUAACCCAAAACCCGAACCCUUAACCCAAAACCCGAACCCUUUAACCCUAACCCUAACCCUAACCCAAAACCCGAACCCUUAACCCAAAACCCGAACCCUUAACCCUAACCCUAACCCUAACCCUAAACCCUAACCCUAACUAUAACCCUUAACCCUAACCCUAACCCUUAACCAUAACCCUAACCCUAACCCUAACCCUAAACCCUAACCAUAUAGUAUCGUAUAGUCGUAUAGUAUCGUGUAGGACGGGGAGAGAGUCGCAUAGGACAUAUAAAGAGGGAGAGAGGGAGAAUCGUAUGGAUAUUAUCGAGUUACGUAUAGAGAGGGAGAGAGGGAGAGUCGUAUAGGACGAGGAGAGGGAGAGAGGGAGAGUCGCAUAGGACGUAUAGAGAGGGAGAGAGGGAGAGUCGUACGGAAAUUAUCGAGUUCAGAUCGAAUUCGGAUCGGAUCGGAUACGUAUAUUAUCGAGUUGUGACGGAUAAAAUUACAAUGUAUAUAUUCAACAUACAUUUGAACACAUAUGAACACACAUAUAUAUUGAACACAUAUAUAUAUAUUGAACACAUACAUUUGAACACAUAUGAACACACAUAUAUAUUGAACACAUACAUUUGAACACAUAUGAACACAUAUAUAUAUUGAACACAUACAUUUGAACACAUAUGAACACACAUAUGAAUAAAAAUAAGUAUUGUAUGAAUACUCUCAUCUCCUCUCCUCUCUCUCCCUCUCCCUCCUCUCUCUAUCUCUCUCCCUCUCCCUCUCUCUAUCUCUAUCUCUCUCCUCUCCCUCUCCUCUCUCUCUCUUACCCUCCUCUCCCUCCCCUCUAUCUCUCUCCUCUCCCUCUAUCUCUCUCCCUCUCUCUAUCUCUCUCCUCUCCCUCCUCUCUCUCUCUCACCCUCCUCUCCCUCCCUCUAUCUCUCUCCCUCUCCCUCUCCUUCCUCUCUCUUCCUCCCUCUCGGCGGCGGCGGCGCGUGCGCCCUCCUCUCUCCUCCCUCUCCCUCUCCCUCCUCUCUCUUCCCUCUCCAACUCCUUCCUCUCUCUUCCUCCCUCUCGGCGGCGGCGCGUGCCCUAGGGUUUACUAAAACGCGGCGGCGGCGGCUGCGCCGGCGCGGUAGACGACGACGGCGGUACGGCAGAUUAGGGGAAAGAGAAAGAAACCUGGAGACGGCGGUGCGGGGGCGGGAAUGGCGGCGUGGGGACGGGCGCGGGGACGAUCGCCGGCGAAACCCUCGGGGUCGAAAUCCAGCAGCCUGACGGCGUCGUCUUGAAGUGAACUGGCGCCAGGGACUUGUAAAUUUUUCGGCUCCCGCGCGCCACCCUUUAUAUAGGCGCAUUUCUACUGGCGGUUGACAACGAGAACCGCCAGUAGAAAUGGCUUCCACAGACUGUAGAAGCCAUUUCUACUGGCGGUUGACAACGAGAACCGCCAGUAGAAACUAUUUCUACUGCCGGUUGUCAUAGAGAACCGCCAGUAGAAAUGGCUUCUACAGUCUGUGGAAGCCAUUUCUACUGGCGGUUCUCUAUGACAACCACAAGUAGAAAUAGUAUUUUAUUAUUAUUAACAUAGUUUUUUUAUAUAUUGUUUUACUUCACUUUUUAUAUAUUAUAUUAAGUAUACUUUUAUAUAUUGUUUAGUAUACUUUUACCUCUCUCCAUCCCCUCUCUCUCCUCUCUCUCCAUCCUCUCUCUCCCUCUACCUCUCCUCUCUUUCCUCUCCACUCUCUCUCCCCUCUCCCUCUCCAUCCUCUCUCUCCUCUCCACUCUCUCUCCCCUCUCCCUCUCCAUCCUCUCUCUCCCCUCUCCCUCUCCAUCCUAUCUCUCCAUCCCCUCUCUCCCCUCUCCCUCUCCAUCCUCUCUCUCUCUCCUCUCUCUCCAUCCUCUCCUCUCUUUCCAUCCUCUCUCUCCUCUCCACUCUCUCUUCCCUCUCGCUCUCCAUCCUCUAUCUCCUCUCCACUCUCUCUCCCCUCUCCCUCUCCAUCCUCUCUCUCCAUCCCCUCUCUCUCUCCUCUCUCUCCAUCCUCUCUCUCUCCUCUCUCUCCAUCCUCUCUCUCCUCUCCCUCUCCUCUCUCUCCUCUCUCUCUCCCUCUCCUCUCUCUCUAUAAAGUCAAUAGAAAGUCAUGUAAAAUUGUAAAUGGUAGCCACGAAAAUUGAAUGAAGACAAUUACAUGCUUCGGUUUGUCGCUAACAAUAAUCAAUUACAUGACAAGUCCUAACAAUAAUCAAUUACAUGACAAGUAUAUAAUCUAGGAAGCUAUUGUUCUGCCUUGUCCAUCGUGGCGUACCCAGGGCAACGAAUUGAGUGGGAUGCUUCGCUCAACGUUCCUUAUCUUGGUUGGAUGGUCUAUGAAAAGAGACAUGUCGUUGAACUGGUUAAAAUUCUCUAAAUCAGAUACACCAUCAACUCCUAUAGCUUGUUGUUUUCCAGGAAAAACUACAUGCUUCGGUUUGUCGGUGCUUUUCUUCUCAUUGUUAGAAAUGAUCUGUUCAGCAUAGAAGACCUGUGCAGCACGAUUAGCAAGGACCCAUGGGUCAUCUUUGUAACCUACCUUACUUAGAUCAAGAACUCUGACCCCAUAGUUGUCUACCGUGACAUGUUUGUCUUCAACCCAUUGACAUCGGAAAACCGAGAUCUGAAAUGUACCAUAGUCUAGUUCCCAUAUGUCCUCAAUAAAGCCAAAAUAUGUAAUAAUCUCACCAGUUUCAUCAUCUAUGGCCUCGCAUCGAACACCACUGUUUUGUGACAUGCUCUUUUUGUCCUUGGACUUGGUACAAAAUGUGAAUCCACUAAUGUCAUAGGUUUGCCAUGUUGUGACCUGGCGUGAUGGUCCAGAUGCCAAGCCCUUGAUGGUUUGUUCUUCUAUUGUUUCUCCACGUGGAAUGUCCUUCACCAUUAGCCAUGUGUUGAACCGCUGCUUAUGUUGCUUCAUUACCCAAUCAUCCGUAUGCCCAGGAUUUUGCUCGCGAAGCUCAUUGAUGUGUUGUUGGAUAAAUGGCUCCAUUAUCGUUAGCUGAUGUAGGAUGCUCUGAUGUGCCUCAAGUACUAUAUCGUAAUCCGGUGGGAUGAAAGAUUUCUGUCCCAUCCUCCCGCUUCCAUACAGUCUACCCUCGUGUCGUGACGGAGGCAGACCUAUUGCAACCUGGUCUUUUAGGAUACUAUUGCAGAAUGGACCUCCAGACUCAAUGGCCUCUUCGGUACAGUACCCCUCUAUCAUGGAUGCCUCGGGACGAGCACGGGUUGAUACAUAGCCAUUCAGUAUUGACAUGAAACGCUCAUACGUCCACAUUUCAUGCAAGUACAUAGGACCCAAUGCCUCUAUUUGUGGCACCAAGUGCACCACAAGGUGCACCAUAAUAUCAAAGAACGAUGGAGGGAAACACAUCUCAAACUGUGAUAUUGUCUCCACUGCGAAUUCCUGAAGAGAUGCCAACUCAUCACGGCCAAUUACCUUUUGUGAAAUCCUGUUGAAAAAGUAGCACAACCGUGUGAUUGCCAUCUUUAAAAACAAAGGAUUUAUAGCCCUGAUGGCAAUAGGUAGGAAUGUAGUCAGCAUGACAUGGCAAUCAUGUGAGUUGUAGUUGGUGAUUGUCAGGUCUUUCAUUGACACAAUACUCCGUAUGCUAGAGCAGAAUCCGGAUGGGACUUUCAAAUUCUUGAGCCAAACACACAUCGCAUGUUUCUCAUCUACAUUGAGAUUGUAGCUUGCUGCUGGGAGAUGGUACUUCCCAUUUUCUUGAAGAACGGGAUGUAGUUCCUUUUUUAUGCCUAAAUCUACCAAGUCCAUGCGUGAAUUGAGCCCUUCUUUUGUUUUGCCCUUUAUGUCUAGCAAGGUGCCCAUUAUGCUUUCAAACACGUUCUUUUGAACGUGCAUACCAUCGAUCGCAUGCCGCACAUCUAACUCUUUCCAGUAAGGCAAGUACUCGAAGAAAAUAGACUUCUUCUUGAAUAUAGCCCCCGAAGCUGGUUUGACAUCCUUCCUUGUUUUUCCGUCUUUUGUCUUCUUCCCGAAAACAAACUUGAUAUUCCUGACUAUUUCAAAAACUCUAUGACCUCUAUUGUUACCCGAUGGAGCAGUAGAAUGUAGUUCACCAUUAUUGUCGAAGUACUUAUCCAUCUUUCGCAUGCGGUACCUGUGUCCUUCCAAUAAAAAGCGUCUGUGCCUCAUGUAAACUAUCUUCCUAGAUGCAGCAAGGGAUACGUAAGCAGUUCCAUCAAUGCAUACUGUGCAACCAACCUUUCCCUUAAACUGGCCUGAUAAUGUGAAGAGAGCAGGGUAAUCGUUGAUCGUAACAAAAAGAAUUGCUCUCAGCGUGAAUGAACCUUUACGAUACUCAUCCAACAUUUGAACACCUGUUUCCCACAAUAUUUUCAUAUCCUCCAUUAAGGGCUCCAAAAAUACAUCCAUGUCAACUCCAGGUUGUGUAGGUCCAGAAAUAAGGAUGGUUAGCAAAAUGUACUUCCGUUUCUGCAUCAACCAUGGAGGAAGGUUGUAUAUGGUGAGGAUCACCGGCAAAGUGCUAUGCUUGCUGCUCCUCUCAGCAAAUGGGUUCAUUCCAUCAGUACUCAGUGCGAACCUAACAUUUCUCGGUUCAUCGGCAAAGUCUCAGUGGUUGUCAUUGAAAUCUUGCCACUGCUUCCCAUCGGCUGGAUGUCGAAGCUUCCCAUCGUUUUUGUGCUCAUCAGAAGCAUGCCAGCUCAUAAGUCUGGCAUCCUCAGGAUUAGCGAACAAACACCUCAAUCGAUCGACGACGGGGAGGUACCACAUCACCAAAGCAGGAAUCUUUUUGAGCGCAUAAUAGUCUACUUCUUUUUCUUUGCUCGUGGAUUUUGAAGUCUUUUUUUGGGCUUUCUUUCGCUUCUUCCCUUUAGACACGGAUGCAACACACUCUUCGUCCUCUCGAUAGUCUUUAUUCGUCUUGUACCUACUUGCACCGCACUUUGGGCAGCUCUCCAAGUCUUUAUAAUCAUCACCUCGAUAAAGGAUACAGUGAUUUCUACACGCGUGGAUCUUCUCCACACCCAUAGUGAGCGGACUGAUUAGUUUCUUUGCAUAGUACGUGUUAGCAGGCACAUUGUUCUCCUUUGGAAGCAUGUCUGCGAUAAUACUCAAGAACGCAUCGAAGCCAGCAUCAGACACACCAUAUUUAGCUUUUAACAUCAACAGCUUUAGCACAGACCGGAGCGUCGUGAACUCUUUGGUACAACCCUUAGACUCGUCAUACAAAGGCUCUUCUGCUGCCUUCUUCAGGGACUCCAUACCUUUCAUUAAGAACAUCGAUUGAUCUGUAAUGCGAUGCAACAUUGCCUCUAGCAACUCUGCAUCUUCCUCAUCCAUAACACUUGGUAGAACAUGAGGUAUAUCAUGUUCAUUUCCUCCAGCGUAACCAUGAUCAGUAACAUUUUGCACUACAUGUUCGCUCUGUGGAAGAGGUUGGUGUGUCUCGUGAACGAACUGAAAUCUGUCGUCGAUGUUCUCAGGGUUUCCAGUCGUAUAAGGCGAAGAGCUACCCUCUCCAUGCUUUGUCCAAAUUGUGUAAUCCUUCAUAAAUCCUCGGCAUACCAGAUGAGAUAUGAUUUGUUCUGUGUCAUUAAAUACAACAACAUUUUUGCAGUCCAUGCAUGGACAAUAUAUGUGUUUUGUCUUUGUUCUCCAAGCAUGGUUCGUAGCGACAUCAAUAAACCUAUGGACCUCGGAUAUGUAUGAUGGAUCUAGCCUUGAUAAGUUAUACAUCCAGGAUGUCCUCUCCAUCACCACCUGUAAAAAAGUAACAUAAACACACAAGAACCAACCUUUCUUAGCAACAUUCUUCCAAAAAAUAAAGAUAAACCCCCCCUUGUAUUUUGUGAAAUCUGGCCCUCUAAUGGAAGUUGGGCUGCGAGCUAUAGUUCUUGUCGGGAAGGAUGAAGGGGUGAAACCCUAUAUCCAAAAUGUGGCUAAAUUUAAGGAAAAUGAACAAAAAUUGGCAAGAAGAACAUAAAACCAAACUUUCCUAGCCAUACUCUUCUCUCUAACACAUGGUGAAGGCCUAGUUCCAAAAUUGAGCAAAGAUGAACAAUAAUUGGCAAUUAAAACAUAAUUAAACCAACUUUCAUAGCAACUAAUAAAAACAAUCUUAAUUACCAAAAACCUAUCUUCUUCUCUCUCCACACAACACAUGAACCAUUCAUUAAACAACUUAAUAUGUCAUGGAUAAACUGAUUUGAGAACUAAACAUGAAAAAGGAGAGAGGAUAGACAAAAUCUAACCAUAUUAAACAACUUUAUUUGAGUGAAUAGAGCAAAAAUGUGGCUAAAAUGUGGCUAAAAUUGAGAGAGGAUACACUCUCUCUCAAAUGGUGAAACCCUAGAUCCAAAAUGUGGCUAAAAUUGAGCAAAAAUGAAUAAAAAUUGACAUUAGCAACAUAAACCAACCUUUCUUAGCAAUCUUCUUCCAAAAAAUGAAGAUCAAAACCUCUCCCCAUGUAUUUUGUGAAUUCUAGACCUCCAAAAUCGCCUCCAAUGGAAGUUGGCUGCGAGCAUACAGUUCACUGUCAGGGGAAGAAGAGGGGUAUUUAUAACAGACACUUCACUGGCGGUUGUCUUUAAAAACCGCUAGUGAAAAUUGAUUUCCACUGGCGGUUGUCUUUAAAAACCGCCAGUGAAAAUAGGAUGUUUCCACUGGCGGUUAAGUUAAGAUAACCGCUAGUGGAAAUAAAUUUUCACUGGCGGUUUGUGUUACACAACCGCCAGUGGAAACAUCCUAUUUCCACUGGCGGUUGUGUUAAGAUAACCGCCAGUGGAAAUAGGUUUCCACUGGCGGUUUUUAAAGCCGGGCCCACCUGUUUCUUUCACUGACGUUUGAUAACGGAAACCGCCAGUGAAAAGUUGAACGUGCCGCAGGCUUUGAGCUUAUUUGUACUAGUGUACCCCCAAGACUCCUAAACUCGGCUGGUAACCACCAUCAGCACAAGCUGCAAAGGCCAGAUGGGCGCAAUACAGGUCAAAGCUCCGUCCACUCAAGGGAUACAAUCUCGCCUCGCCCGAGCCCAGCCUUGGGCAGGAAUAGUAGACCCAGGUGGAUUCACGCCUCGCCCGAGGGCCUCCUCAAGCAACAGGCGCACCUUCGACUCGUCCGAGGCCCAGCUCGGGCAGGCUUCGCAGUGAAGCAACCUUGGCCAGAUCGCCUCGCCAACCGACCGUAUCGCAGGAGCAUUCAAUGCAAGGAUCGCCUGACACCUUAUCCUGACGCGCGUUCCUCAGUCGACAGGGCUGAAGUGACCGCAGUCACCUCGCCCCUCCACUGACUGACCUGACAGGAAAACAACGCUGCCUGCCCUGCUCUGACUGCUGUGCCACCCGCCAGGGUGAGGCUGACAGCCGCCGAGUCCAGCCUCAGGCGCCAUAGGAAGCUCCGCCUCGCCCGACCCUGGGGCUCGGCCCCCGCCUCGACCUCGGAAGACGGUCUUCGCCUCGCUCGACCCCAGGGCUCGGACUCAGCCUCGACCUCGGAAGACGGUCUCCGCCUCGCCCGACCCCAGGGCUCGGACUCAGCCUCGACCUCGGAAGACGGUCUCCGCCUCGCCCGACCCCAGGGCUCGGACUCAACCUCGACCUCGGAGGAUUCUUCGCCUCGCCCGACCUUGGGCUCGGACCGACCACGUCGCAGGGGGGGUACAUCAUUACCCUACCCCUAGCUAGCUCAGGCUACGGGGAACAAGACCGGCGUCCCAUCUGGCUCGUCCCGGUAAAACAAGUAAUGAUGGCACCCCGCAUGCUCCCAUGACGACGGCGGUUCUCAGCCCCCUACGGAAGCAAGGAGACGUCAGCAAGGUCCCGACAGCCCCGACAGCUGUGCUUCUACAGGGCUCAAGCGCUCCUUCGACGGCCACGACGCAACAUGCACAGGGUACUAACACCUCUCCGACAGCCACGUCGGCAUGUACAUAGGACUCUGGCUCCUCUCUGCCAGACACGUUAGCAUACUGCUACACCCCCUAUUGUACACCUGGGCCCUCUCCUUACGUCUAUAAAAGGAAGGUCCAGGGCCCUCGUACGAAAAGGUGGCCGCGCGGGAGGACGGGCUGACGAACAUGCUCUCUCCCUCUCUCGCGAACGCUUGUAACCCCCUACUGCAAGCGCAUCCGCCCUGGGCGCAGGAUAACACGAGCCGCGGUUCCCCUCUUGUUUCCCCCUUGUGUUCCAUCUCGCGCCGACCCAUCUGGGAUAGGACACGCAGCAACAAUUUACUCGUCGGUCCAGGGACCCCCCGGGGUCGAAACGUCGAAAGUUGGCGCGCCAGGUAGGGGCCUGCUGCGUGUUGACGAACAGCUUCCCGUCAAGCUCCAGAUGGGUAGUCUCCAGCAACCUCUCCAGCCCGGGACGCUGCUCCAUUUCGGGAGUCUCGAGUUCAUGUCCCUCGACGGCAGCUACGACAUGGUACUCCUUCCUCCGCCGCGCGACAACGACAACGGCGGCCGUCAGCCCACCCGACGGCGGCGGAAUCGGCGACGUCUUCCCCGCGUAGCGGAAGAGCAGCAUCCGAGUCUGUCCCGUCACCUUCCCCGCCGCAGGAGGAGGAGGCGGGGCAACCAUGGCCAAGCAGGAGGCGGCACCUCGUUGGCUGUCGAGCGAGUUGACGACGCCGGCGCCCCAGCGGGGGACACGUCAGGCGUUAACCUCGCGUCUGAGAUGAAGACGAGCGUCGUUUGACCGCAACACGCCAACCCCAAGCGGACGGAUGACGCCAGCACGCUCGUGAAGGACUUGCUGGGUGUUAGCCUCGUACCUGAGAUAACGGUGCAGUCCGUCCCCGACGCGACUUCGUCACCAUCCGUCGAUCAAAAGGUACCGUCUGUUUUCCAUCCUGUGCCUUUUAGAUUCAGCUCGACCCACCGAGCGACCCCGCUUCGGUGGACACUUUCAUAAAGGCAUAUCCGAACCUUCCGGGAUACCAUAUGUGGUCCACUUGGGACCGACUGACGGCCGUCUCGACCUACGGGCCCUCGGGUUCUGAGGAAGAUGACGACCCCGACUCUGGUUGGGAUUUCUCCGGGCUCCGUGCUCCUAGUGCCAUGCGGGACUUCAUGACCGCAUGUGACUACUGCCUCUCCGACUGCCCCGAUGAUGGCCACAGCCUUGACGACGAGGACUGUGGCCCAAGUCGCGAAUGUUUCCACGUCGAUCUAGGGGGUCUCGACGAAGGCAACCACCUUGGUAUGCCGGAGGACGGCGAUCCCCCUAGGCCUGCGCCUCGCGUUGACAUCCUUCGGGAGCUAGCUGUGGUCCCAGUCCCUGCGGGGGGUCAGGACACACAGCUCGAGCAAAUCCGUGAGAUGCAGGCCAAGCUCGACGAGGAAGCAGGACAACUUGUGCAGCUCCGGCAAAACAUCGGGCAGGAGUGGGCAGGCCGAGCGCUAGCCAGAGAAGCACGCCAUCAGGCCCAGGACGUCCAGCACCGCAUCGCCGACGAUGCCAGGGCAAGGCUGCCCCCGGCUUCCAGUGGGGUCGGCCAGAACCUGGCUGCAGCAGCAAUACUACUCCGAGCGAUGCCGGAGCCAUCCACCACCGAGGGGCGGCGUAUCCAGGGAGAGCUCAAGAAUCUCCUGGAGGAUGCCGCGGUCCGACGGACCGAAAGCUCUGCCUCCCGAAGGCAGGGGUACCCCCCGGAGCAUCGCGCCGCGACUUCCCGAUUCAUGCGAGAAGCCUCGGUCCACACCGGGCGCACGCGGGACGCAACGCCUGUAGCCUCGGGUCGCCUCGGCCACGAGCACCACCGCUACAAUCGUCGAGCCCACCUCGAUGAGAAGGUGCGCCGAGGCUACCACCCCAGACGUGGGGGACGCUACGACAGCGGGGAGGAUCGGAGUCCCUCGCCCGAACCACCCGGUCCGCCAGCUUUCAGCCAGGCCAUACGACGGGCGCCGUUCCCGACCCGGUUCCGGGCCCCGACUACCAUCACUAAGUACUCGGGGGAAACGAGGCCGGAACUGUGGCUCGCGGACUACCGGCUGGCCUGCCAGCUAGGUGGAACGGACGAUGACAACCUUAUCAUCCGCAACCUCCCCCUGUUCCUCUCCGAUGCCGCCCGAGCCUAGCUGGAGCAUCUGCCUCCUGCGCAGAUCUCCAACUGGGACGACCUGGUCAAAGCCUUCGCUGGAAACUUCCAGGGCACAUACGUGCGCCCUGAGAACUCCUGGGAUCUCCGAAGCUGCCGCCAGCAGCCAGGGGAAUCCCUGCGGGAGUAUAUCCGGCGAUUUUCGAAGCAGUGCACCGAGCUGCCCAACAUCACCGACUCAGAUGUCAUCGGCGCGUUCCUCGCCGGCACCACCUGCCGCGACCUGGUGAGCAAGCUAGGUCGCAAGACUCCCAUCAGGGCGAGCGAGCUGAUGGACAUCGCCACCAAGUUCGCCUCUGGUCAGGAGGCGAUCGAGGCCAUCUUUCGGAAGGACAAGCAGCCUCAAGGACGCCUGCAGGAAGACAUCCCCGAGGCGUCCGCCCAGCGCGGCACGAAGAAGAAGGGCAAGAAGAAGUCGCAAGAGAAACGCGACGCCGCCGACGCAGAUCUUGUCGCCGCCGCCGAGCACAGGAACCCUCGGAAGCCUCCCGAAGGGGCCAACCUGUUCGACAAAAUGCUCAAGGAGUCGUGCCCCUAUCAUCAGGGUCCCGUCAAGCACACCCUUGAGGAGUGCGUCAUGCUUCGGCGCUACUUCCACAAGGCCGAGCCCCCGGCGGAAGGUGGCAGAGCCCACGACAAUGACAAGAAGGAAGGCAACAAGGCAGAAGAGUUCCCCGAGGUCCAUGACUGCUUCAUGAUCUACGGUGGGCAAGUGGCGAACGCCUCGGCUCGACACCGCAAGCAGGAGCACCGGGAAGUCUGCUCGGUGAAGGUGGCGGCGCCGGUCUACCUAGACUGGUCCGACAAGCCCAUCACCUUCGACCAAGGCGACCACCCCGACCGCGUGCCGAGCCCAGGAAAGUACCCGCUCGUUGUAGAUCCUGUCAUCAGCAACGUCAGGCUUACCAAGGUCCUCAUGGACGGAGGCAGCAGCCUCAACAUCAUCUACGCCGAGACCCUCGGGCUCUUGCAGAUCGAUCUGUCCACGAUCCGGGCCGGUGCGGCGCCCUUUCAUGGGAUCAUUCCCGGGAAGCGCGUCCAGCCCCUUGGACAACACGAUCUGCCUGUCUGCUUCGGGACUCCCUCCAACUUCCGAAAGGAAACCCUCACGUUCGAGGUGGUCGGGUUCCGAGGAACCUACCACGCAGUGCUGGGGAGACCAUGCUACGCCAAGUUCAUGGCCGUCCCCAACUACACCUACCUCAAGCUCAAGAUGCCGGGCCCCAACGGGGUCAUCACCGUCGGAUCCACAUACCGACACGCAUACGAAUGCGACGUGGAGUGUGUGGAGUACGCUGAGUCCCUCGCCGAGUCCGAGGCCCUCAUCGCCGACUUGGAGAGCCUCUCCAAGGAGGUGCCAGAUGCGAAGCGCCACGCCGGCAACUUCGAGCCAGCAGAGGCGGUUAAGUCCGUCCCUCUCGACCCCAGCAACGACGCCUCCAAGCAAGUCCGGAUCAGCUCCGAGCUCGACCCCAAAUAGGAAGCAGUGCUCGUCGACUUUCUCCGCGCGAACGCCGAGGUUUUUGCGUGGAGUCCCUCGGACAUGCCUGGCAUACCGAGGGAUGUCGCCGAGCACUCGCUGGAUAUCCGAGCUGGAGCUCGACCCAUGAAGCAGCCUCUGCGCCAAUUCGACGAAGAAAAGCGCAGAGCCAUAGGCGAGGAGAUCCACAAGCUGAUGGCUGCAGGGUUCAUCAAAGAGGGUAUCACCAAAUCAGGAUGAAAGAGUCCGAUCAGCUUGCGACUUCUUUCAUCACACCCUUUGGCAUGUACUGCUAUAUUACUAUGCCAUUCAGUUUAAGGAAUGCAGGCGCGACAUACCAAAGGUGCAUGAACCACGUGUUCGGAGAGCACAUUGGCCGAACGGUCGAGGCUUACGUCGAUGACAUCGUAGUCAAGACGAGGAAAGCCUCCGACCUCCUCUCUGACCUUGAAACGACAUUCAAGUGUCUCAAGGCAAAAGGCGUAAAACUCAAUCCUGAGAAGUGUGUCUUCGGAGUCCCCCGAGGCAUGCUCCUGGGGUUCAUCGUCUCCGAGCGGGGCAUCAAGGCCAACCCGGAGAAAAUCGCGACCAUCACCAACAUGGGGCCUAUCAAGGAAUUGAAAGGAGUACAGAGGGUCAUGGGAUGCCUUGCGGCUCUGAGCCACUUCAUCUCGUGCCUCGGCGAAAGAGGCCUACCCCUGUACCGCCUCUUAAGGAAGACCGAGCGCUUCACUUGGACCUCCGAGGCCAAGGAAGCCCUCGGGAACUUAAAGGCGCUCCUUAUAAGCACGCCCAUCUUGGUACCCCCCGCUGCGGGAGAAGCCCUCUUGAUCUACGUAGCCGCAACCACUCAGGUGGUCAGAGCUGCGAUCGUAGUCGAGAGACGAGAAGAAGGGCAUACAUUGCUCGUCCAGAGACCGGUCUACUUCAUCCGUGAGGUACUAUCCAAGACCAAAAUCCGCUACCCGCAAAUUCAGAAGCUACUGUACGUGAUAAUUCUGACGCGGCGAAAGUUGCGACACUACUUCGAGUCUCAUCCGGUGACUGUGGUGUCAUCCUUCCCCCUGGGGGAGAUCAUCCAGUGCCGAGAGGCCUCGGGUAGGAUUGCAAAAUGGGCAGUGGAGAUCAUGGGCGAGACAAUCUCGUUCGCUCCUCGGAAGGCCAUCAAGUCCCAAGUCUUGGUGGACUUUGUGGCUAAAUGGGUCGACACCCAGCUUCCAGCAGCUCCGAUCCAACUAGAACUCUGGACCAUGUUUUUCGACGGGUCGCUGAUGAAAACAGGAGUGGGCGCGGGCCUGCUCUUCAUCUCACCCCUCAGAAAGCACCUCUGCUAUGUGUUAUGCCUCCAUUUCCCGGCAUCAAACAACGUGGCCGAGUACGAGGCUCUGGUUAACGGGUUGCGCAUCGCCAUCGAGCUAGGGGUUCGGCGCCUCGACGCUCAUGGCGACUCAGAGCUUGUCAUCGACCAAGUCAUGAAGAACUCCCACUGCCGCGACCUGAAGAUGGAGGCCUACUGCGACAAGGUUCGGCGCCUGGAAGACAAGUUCUACGGGUUCGAGCUCAACCACGUCGCCCGAUGGUACAACGAGACUGCGGACGAGCUGGCUAAAAUAGCCUCGUGGCGGACAACGGUCCCCCCGGACAUCUUCUCCCGAGACCUACACCAACCCUCCGUCAAGACCGAUGACACGCCCGAGCCCGGGGAGGCCUCGGCCCAGCCCGAGGCACCCUCGGCCCCCGAGGGUGAGGCUUUGCGUGUCGAGGAAGAGCGGAAUGGGGUCGCGCCUAAUCGAAACUGGCAGACCCCGUACCUGCAAUAUCUCCACCGAGGAGAGCUACCCCUCGACAGAGCCGAGGCUCGGCGACUAGCGCGGCACGCCAGGUCGUUCAUCUUGCUGGGUGACGAGAAGGAGCUCUACCACCACAGCCCCUCAGGCAUCCUCCAGCGAUGCAUAUCCAUCGCCGAAGGUCAGGAGCUAUUGCAAGAAUUACACUCGGGGGCUUGCGGUCAUCACGCAGCGCCUCGAGCCCUCGUUGGAAACGCCUUCCGACAAGGUUUCUACUGGCCAACCGCGGUGGCCGACGCCAUUAGGAUUGUACGCUCCUGCCGAGGGUGUCAGUUCUACGCAAGGCAGACACACCUGCCUGCUCAGGCCCUGCAAACAAUACCCAUCACCUGGCCGUUUGCUGUGUGGGGUCUGGACCUCGUCGGUCCCUUGCAGAAGGCACCCGGGGGCUUCAUGCACCUGCUGUUCGCUAUCGAUAAAUUGUCCAAGUGGAUUGAGGUCCGACCCCUAAACAGCAUCAGGUCCGAGGAGGCGGUGGCGUUCUUCACCAACAUCAUCCAUCGCUUUGGGGUCCCAAACUCUAUCAUCACCGACAACGGCACCCAGUUCACUGGCAGGAAGUUCCUGGACUUCUGCGAGGACUACCACAUCCGGGUGGACUGGGCCGCCGUAGCUCACCCCAUGACGAAUGGGCAGGUAGAGCGUGCCAACAUCAUGAUUCUGCAGGGACUUAAGCCGAGGAUCUACAACGACCUCAACAAGUUCGGCAGGCGAUGGAUGAAGGAACUCCCCUCGGUGGUCUGGAGUCUUAGGACGACGCCAAGCCAGGCCACGGGCUUCACGCCAUUUUUUCUAGUCUAUGGGGCCGAGGCUAUCUUGCCCACAGACUUAGAAUAUGGCUCCCUAAGGACAAGGGCGUACGACGACCGAAGCAACCAGACAAGCCGAGAAGACUCACUGGACCAGCUGGAAGAGGCUCGGGACAUGGCCUUGCUACACUCAACGUGGUAUCAACAGUCUCUGCGACGCUACCACGCCCGAGGGGUUUGGUCCCGAGACCUCCAGGUGGGGGACUUGGUGCUUCGGCUACGACAAGACGCCCGAGCGUGCCACAAGCUCACACCUCUUUGGGAAGGGUCGUUCAUCAUCGCCAAGAUUUUGAAGCUCGGAACAUACAAGCUGGCCAACAGUCAAGGCGAGGUCUACAGCAACGCUUGGAACAUCCGACAGCUACGUCGCUUUUACCCUUAAGAUGUUUUCAAGUCGUUCAUAUGCCUCGUUCUCUUUACAUACACGAAAAGAGUCUAACCAUCAAGGAAGGGUCAGCCUUGCCUCGGCAAAGCCUAACCCUCCCUCGGGGGCUAGAAGGGGGGAACCCCCUCUGCGUCAAAAUGUUCCUCGAAAAAAGUCUUUCUGCCAGAACAUCUUUCGCGCUUUUCGACUACUUCGAUAGCAGGAUCCUGAAAACGACAGAGUACACGUAAGCGGCAAGGCCGACCGAGCCGAGGGACUCCUACGCCUCCGGGAUACGGAUACCUCACUCAUCACCUUCUGCGAUAAGUAACUCACGCUCGGAUAAGCGAUUCUGCUGCCCAAACGAGUCCUAACGCUCGAAAACUUUUCUGCCAGAACGAUUUUUCGUGCCUUCUCGACUAUGUCGAUAACAGAAUCCUGUGGACGAGUAAGAGUACACGUAAGCGACGAGGGCGACCGAGCCAAGGGACUCCUAUGCCUCCGGGAUAUGGAUACCUCACUCAUCACCUUCCGCAAUAAGUAACUCUCGCUCGCACAAUUAAUUCUGCUACCGACAAACAAGUCCUGAUACUCGAAACAAGAGGAAAAGAAACGCAGCUUUAUAACACGACAAUGAUAUGUUUGGGCCUCAGCGGCCGCAAAAGACAUACGCAUGCUACAGACAAACUGUUCCUGCAGGUUUAGACAUCAACAGAGGGAACAGCUGCACCCUCGGCGUUGUUUCCACCUUCGGCGGGAUCUGGCCCGGCAUCGGACGACGACACGGGCGAAGGAUCUCCACCUCGAAGGAAGAUGUCAGCACCGCGCCUGGGCCAUCGCCGCCAGGGUCUCCUCCAGGAACCCGGCCCAAGCAGACGGCUUGUCCGGCCACUCCGUAGCCUCAGCCAGCUGUCCCCCGAGGGCAUCAGCCCGGCGCAUGGCCUCGUCAGCCCGACUCCGGGGUUGGUCCCGCCAGUGGAUGACCCGGCCCGGCUCCAGCCGCCACUGCUACGCCUCCUCGGGCUAGAAAGGGGAAACCCCCUCUGCGUAAAAAUUUUCCUCAGAAAAAGUCUUCCACCAAAAUGACUUUCGUGUUUCCCGGCUAUAUCAGUAACAGAACCCCGCGAAACGAAUAAGAUCGCGUGUAAGCGGCAAGGCCGACCGAGCCGAGGGACUCCUACGCCUUCGGGAUACGGAUACCUCACUUGUCACCUUCCGCGAAAAAUAACUCUUACUCGGAUAAGCGAUUCUGCUACUGACGAACAAGCCUGAAUACUCGAAACAGGAGGAAAAGAAACGCAACUUUAUAACACGACGACAAAGUGUUCAGACCUCGGUGGCCACGAAAGACACAUACAUGUUCAAAACAAACUGCUUCGGCAGAAUCAGGCAUCGCCCGGGGGAGGAGCGGCACCCUCGGCUUCGUCUCCACCCUCAGCACCGCUUCCACCCUCGGCGAGAUCCGCCCCGGCCUUGGACGGCAACGCAAGCGGAAGGAUUUCCACCUCGAAGGAGGAUGCCAACACCGUGCUUGGGCUCGCGGCGGCCGCGUCAAGCCUCUGAACUUCGGCCAGGGCAACUUCAUCUUCGUCGGGAAGACAGUACCCCUCGCUAACCCGCUCCAAUCCACAUCGUAGUGGGAAGCGAGCACGGCGAAGGCCCGCCUAACGCCGUGAUGCAGCGCCUCACGGAGUCUGCCGCGCACAUGGCCGCCCAAGGCCUGCAUGCGACUCUAGGGGAGCUUCCCGAGGGGACAUCGUCAAGACCGAAGACCUGGCAGAAGGCCGAGAUAGCUUCGGACAUGGCCACACGGUCGGCCUCCUUCUGCUCAGCCGUCUGGGCAAGUGCCUUGGCGGACUCGUUGAGGGCAGACUUGAACUUUGCAAACGACCAAAAUAGAAUUCUUUAAACACGAGUUGAAGGAUGAAGCUGAAUCAAACUCUCAAAGCAACCAAGACAUACCUUCAGCCCGGGCACGCUGCUCCGAGGCUGCGGCUUGGGCGGACUGGGCAGACCUGACGGCCACGGCCAGGUCCUCCGCAAGGGCUCCGGCCCGAGCAGACACCUCGGCUAGCUGGCCCCCAAGGGCCUCGGCCCGGCUUUCAGCCUCGGCAGCCUGGUUCCGAGAUUGGUCCCGCUCACCGAUGACCUGGCCAAGCUCCAACUGCCGCCGCUGCGCCUCUGCGCGUGCCACCGCUGCCUCCACCCCCAGCUCAUCACAAAGCAACCGAAGGUCCACCGCCUCGGCGCUCCGUUGGGAGAGGCACUCGGUAUCCUCGGCAAGCAUGGCCCUCAGGAACCGCAGCGAACCCCAGACGUCGGCCUCGCGGCGGACGAACGAUGACUUGGCGGUGCUCAGAUCCGUCAGAUCCUGAGGAAGGGAAGCAGGGCAUCACAAAGAGUGCCUUGAUCACGUGAAAGGUAUGCCUGAAAUCCUUACUUGGAGGAUCCUGGGAACGUUCCUGGAAAGGACCUCCAUGGUCGACCAAAGCGACCCCAUCGCGGCCUCGGCACACUCACGGAGCUCGUCCCGAGACUGCUCCUCCCGCUCAUCGUCAAGAACGAAGAGGGGCUUCGAGGCACCACGGGUCUAGAACUAGAGCGCCUCCCCACGCCGCUCAUUGGGAUCGCGCCGCGCGAGGAUGAGGUCGCCGCUCCCCAUGACGGGCCGCGGUUCUGUGCCCCUCUCCUCCAAGGCGUCAGGACCCCGUGCAGUCGGCGCAUCGGGUACCUCCUCAGCUAAGGGGGGAGGUUUCCGAUCACCGACCUCGAGUUGCAGCGCCUCAGCCAUCUCAGCAUCAGCAGCGACGAGUGACUCCACGGGCAGAACGGCAACAGCCUCGACAGAAGCUGGUGCCGGCGCCGACAACAUGUCAGGUGGGCUCAAGGCCACGGCCACUCCAGCAGUCUCCCCUGGCACGACGGUCGCCUUGACGGAGGGGUCAGCCUAGGGAGCUCGCCCCACGGCAACUCGUGCUGCCUGGCCCCCCCGCUCUGGGGCAUCUUGUGAGGAGGCCAGCCGACCGGCAUGGCCCGGUGUGGCACCGGCUGCAGAAGCCAGUACCGUCUUAAGGACCUUCCGGGGAGCCAGACCGGUCGAACCGUGCCUCCGUUUGCUGGGAAUAAAAGGAAAAGCAGGAUCAGGACACACGAAGAAGGAGCCGGGACAGAGGUAUCCUCAGAUACUUACCCACUCCGGACCAAGGCCAAUCGUGCCUGCGGGGAGGCCCCUCGGGCCUCGGUCCCCACGGGCACUACUGAGGUUUGCCCCGCUGCCGGCUUCGGCACCAUACCCGCCUCGGGCGCCCGGGACGCCGAAGGGACGGUCUGCCCAGGCGCAGUCGCAACGACCGGAGGAUCGACCUCUUGUGCGGCCGGCACGGGCGACAGUUCUUGGGGGACAGGCGGGUCGGCCUGACUCCCCGGGGUCACCUCAACUACCUCGGCCGAGGGAUCAAGUACCCCCUUAGCCUGUCCCUGUUCUUCGGACCAGGACCCUGAUGUCCCGGCCCCAGAUACCGACGGUGCCAGCCCACUCGGGGGCUGGCUCGACGACCCCUAGCCCAGCCUCAGAUCCGGGCUGAGACCAAGGCGGGCCGCCAUGUCGUCGUCUUCGUCAUCAUCAUCGUCAUCGUCGUCAUUGGGCGUCUCCGGCGACGGCUCCCUCGGGAGCCCGUCCCUCUCUUGCCUCCGGCGGCGCCUCUCCAAGGUGUCCUGAGCCCGCAUCCGCUCGCGAGCCCGAGCCUUUUUCGCGUCCUUCUUCUCCUUCUUCUCCGCGGCGACCCUCCGCGUGGCUCGGUCCACCUCGUCCUCCGGGACUGGUGGCAGGGAAGGCUUGUGAAACCCCAACUCCUAGAGACGGACAGAAAUCUCGGCUGUGAGAACCAAGGGCAAUCUGACACAAGAAAGAAGAAGGAGCGGACACUCACCAGGGAUAUGCACCCGCGCUCGGAAAGCAUCAAGGGCUGGGUAAGGGCGUCGGCGUCUAGCCUCCCUACUAUGCCGGCUACCUGCCUGUGGAGGUCAUCGGCGGGGAGGGGGGACCGAGGACAUAUGCGAACCCUCCAAGUCGACCCCCGGUGUCAUCUCCGAAAGCAGCAACUGCCGCUCCGUCAAGGGAAGCACCCUCCGGCGAUGGAUGGCGGCAACCACCCCCGCGGCGGUAAGCCCUCCGCCUCGCAGCUUCUGCAAGGCCUCUAGGAGGGGCUGGAGAUUCUUCUGUUUCUCGCACGCGGCCCAAUAGCGCCAGUUGCUGCUGGCGGCGGUCACCACUCGUUGAGAAAACGACGGGAGCCUCCCAUCGUCAUUCCGGAGGUAAAACCACCGGCGCUGCCACCCCUUGUUCGAGGACACAAGGAUGGCGGGGAUGUACUGUUGCGCGCGCGCCUGCCUCAAUUGGAGGAUGCAGCCACCGGCCCGCACCGCCAUGCGGACUCUCUUUUCCCCUGUCGUCAAGGCAAAAGGCUUCGCGGAGAAGAGAUGGGUCCACAGAUCCCAGUGGGGGUCAAUCCCCAAAAAUCCUUCGCAAACCGCCGCGAAGAUGGCCGCUUGCACGAUGGAGUUGGGGUUGAGAUUGUGCAGCUCCACCCCAUAGAAAUGCAGGAUCGCCCGCAUGAAACGGCUUGCUGGCACUCCAAACCCCCGCUCAUGGAAGGAGACGAAACUCAGCACAUACCCCGGCGGUGGGGUCGGGGCGGCCCCGCUUGGAGGGACCAUCCACUCCGGCUGCGGGUCACCAGAGAGGGGACGGAGCAAGCCAUCGGCGACAAGGGCCUCCAGGUCGUCCACCGUGACGGCGGAGAAAGGCCACGGGUCGCGCGGCGGAACGACGGUUACCCGGUCAGCCAUCGCCAAGCGAAGGGGGCGGCGGCGGAGCGGACAAGGUGUGUGGUUUCCUUUCUCUGGCUAUUCCUUUGGGUUGCGGAAACCAAAGCAGGAGGCGAGCAGCAGAGUAAAGAACCACCACCGGUCCCUCUUCCGGAUAUAUAAAGGCCCGGGCAAGACCCGUUCAACACUUCGCCCGAACCCGCCGUGAAAUUCAAACUCGAAGGCGAAACGCCCGUUUCUCGAACGAUUCGUGCAUGCACAACGGCUGCCCUGCGAACCACCCGUCCCAUCGCAUUAACUUCGCGGCAGGGCAGGCAACACCUUUGGCAGGUGAAGCGAGCGACGUUUCACCUCCGCCAUAAUAACCGCGUCAAAAAAGGUGCGCCACAUCGUUUAAAUUCGUAUCCUUUUCCUCUUCCCCUUUCUCUCUCUUGCUACAGGGACCGGGAAAGGGGAUACCCCGAAAGGGAUCCUUCUCCGCGAAGGAAGUGGGCCCCGAGCCCUCCUACUGAUCAGAGGUUCGAAGGCUGGCCCCUCGGAAGGGUUCAACAGCCGCCUGAGAGCACUCGGGCUCCGCGCCCACUGCUAGUCAGAGGUUCGAAGGCUGGCCCCUCGGAAGGGUUCGACAGCCGCCCCAGGCCACUCGGGCUCCGCGCCCACUACUGAUCAGGGGUUCGAAGGCUGGCCCCCCGAAGGGUUCGACAGCCGCCUUAGAACACGCAGAGCGAGGGAUGACUUUGGGUACGUCCGAUACAUGGCCGAGGCUCGGGCUACGCUCCCGAGGUACCCUAGGACAUUUCCGAGACCGGCAGGAGCGAUUCUGUAACGGAAUCCCAUCAGAGGGAGGCAUCGAGCCCUCGAACCCUAUCAAACGGGAUUGGGUCCGACAAAUCACCUGCAGGUACUUUUGGAGCGCGCCUCUGGGCCACUAGCCGACCCUUAUCGAACGGGGCACGGGCGUCCACUCGGAUCACCCGUUAGCAACUCACUGGAGACACCAUGUUCGGCGCCCUCCGAGGGCAACAUGGCUCUUUCCCCCCUCCUCCUUGCGGAAAGGCGACGAAGGGGCGUAUGAUAAAAGCCGAGUCAGUCCUUGACCGUCCUCUUGCUCUGUGCAGAGGCUCGGGGGCUGCUCUCGCAAACCCGGCUCCGGCCAAACCGUUGACAGCGUCAACAUACCAGCCCGAGAACUCGGAACCUGACCAUGCACCCGGGCUACGACCAGAUAGCAUGAGGGAACAACCAGACCGGCCGAGGCAUCACGAAAGGCAUUAAGACCUCGGAGGAGUCAAACCACUCCUCCAAGGCCUCGGGGGCUACACCCGGCGGGUGUGCUCGCGCGCACCCACCGGAACAAAAUGUAACCGAGAAAGGUCGGUCCCCUUGCAAAAAAGUGCGACAAAGCCUCCAAGCGAGUACCAACACUCCCUUUGAGGCUCGGGGGCUACUGUCAGGGACCAUAAUUAGGGGUACCCCCAAGACUCCUAAACUCGGCUGGUAACCACCAUCAGCACAAGCUGCAAAGGCCUGAUGGGCGCAAUAUAGGUCAAAGCUCCGUCCACUCAAGGGACACGAUCUCGCCUCGCCCGAGCCCAGCCUCAGGCAGGAACAGUAGACCCAGGUGGAUUCACGCCUUGCCCGAGGGCCUCCUCAAGCAACAGGCGCACCUUCGACUCGCCCAAGGCCCAGCUCGGGCAGGCUUCGCAGUGAAGCAACCUUGGCCAGAUCGCCUCGCCAACCGACCGUAUCGCAGGAGCAUUCAAUGCAAGGAUCGCCUGACACCUUAUCCUGACGCGCGUUCCUCAGUCGAUAGGGCUGAAGUGACCGCAGUCACUUCGCCCCUCCACUGACUGACCUGACAGGAAAACAGCGCCGCCUGCCCUGCUCCGACUGCUGUGCCACCCGCCAGGGUGAGGCUGACAGCCGCCGAGUCCAGCCUUAGGCGCCAUAGGAAGCUCCGCCUUGCCCGACCCCGGGGCUCGGCCGCCGCCUCGACCUCGGAAGACGGUCUCCGCCUCGCCCGACCCCAGGGCUCGGACUCAGCCUCGACCUCGGAAGACGGUCUCCGCCUCGCCCGACCCUAGGGCUCAGACUCGACCUCGACCUCGGAAGACGGUCUCCGCCUCGCCCGUCCCCAGGCCUCGGACUCAACCUCGACCUCGGAGGAGUCCUCGCCUCGCCCGACCUUGGGCUCGGACCGACCACGUCGCAGGGGGGUACAUCAUUACCCUAUCCCUAGCUAGCUCAGGCUACAGGGAACAAGACCGGCGUCCCAUCUGGCUCGCCCCGGUAAAACAAGUAAUGAUGGCACCCCGCAUGCUCCCAUGACGACGACGGUUCUCAGCCCCCUACGGAAGCAAGGAGACGUCAGCAAGGUCUCGAUAGCCCCGACAGCUGUGCUUCUACAGGGCUCAAGCGCUCCUCCGACAGCCACGACGCCACAUGCACAGGGCACUAACACCUCUCCGACAGACACAUCGGCAUGUACAUAGGACUCUGGCUCCUCUCUGCCGGACACGUUAGCAUACUGCUACACCCCCCAUUGUACACCUGGGCCCUCUCCUUACGUCUAUAAAAGGAAGGUCCAGGGCCCUCGUAUGAAAAGGUGGCCGCGCGGGAGGACGGGCUGACGAACAGGCUCUCUCCCUCUCUCGCGAACGCUUGUAACCCCCUACUGCAAGCGCAUCCGCCCUGGGCGCAGGAUAACACGAGCCACGGUUCCCCUCUUGUUUCCCCCUUGUGUUCCAUCUCGUGCCGACCCAUCUGGGCUGGGACACGCAGCGACAAUUUACUCAUCGGUCCAGGGACCCCCCGGGGUCGAAACGCCGACAUAUACUAAGUGAAAUCCUCAAAGCAUAGUGAGAGAAAUAAAGAGUAGAACCAUGGUACGUCAUUGUUCUUCCAUGAACAUCUAGCCCAAAUUAAAGAACAAUAGUAUAUCUACAGCCAUCAUCUCAAAAACUUCAGUGGAGAAAAUAAAUGAUGAGAUAUACAACUCAGGCUAAUAUUUCUUCAAUACAAUCUGGUCAGAAAAUCUGAGAAAUCAACAUACCGAUCGAGUCUUCUUAAAAACCCAACGGGAAAAAUAAGGACAAUAAUAACGAUUUAUUAUUGAUCCAUUUAAACUUUUAUGAGAUAAACUCAUAACCUAGUUCAAAUACAACAAUAUCCAUGUCAUAAUGCAUCAUCCUCGAAAACCCCUAUGAAAAAUAGAUAAUACGUCGUAGACUUUGUGUUGAUGUUGCCUCGUUAAAAACUUUGAAUGAUAAACCCAAAAUGGCAACAAAAACUCAUGCAAAAAAAAGAGUACAACAUGGUGUACAAACAAGUUCUUCCGAUCAAAGAGGAAACUCUCCUUAAUCCUUGCAAAUCACUAAACCAUCCCAUACCAGCUCUCAAACCCAUUUCAAAUGUGGAGUAAGGUAGAGACUUACUUCGUAACUUGUUUUCAUCUAAGCAACACAAAGUGAUAUUAUUUCAUAGAUAAUAAGGUAAGUUAUAGAAAAUCAUGACCACCAUAUACCCUCAAUAUGUAUUUUAUCAUUCUGUACAAUCACACAAAGUGGGCCACAAAAUGAUAAGUGUAAGUGUCGGUGUUUCGAAACCCGGGGGGUCCCUAGACCGACGAGUGAAUCGUCGCCGCGUGCCCCAGCCCAGAUGGGUUAGCGCGAGGCGGAACGCGAAGGGGGGAGAGAGCAGCCGGAGGGAGACAGGCGUGGGAGGUGGAACCCGCGGCCUUCGUGUUAGCCCCGCGCCCAGGUCGGGUGCGCUUGCAGUAGGGGGUUACAAGCGUCCACGCGGGAGGGAGCGAGCGGCCUUGCGUGAGCGCCGUCCCGUCCUUCCCCGCGCGGCCAACCCUCUGUAAGAGGGCCCUGGACCUCCCUUUUAUAGGCGUAAGGAGAGGAUCCAGGUGUACAACGGGGGUGUAGCAGUGUGCUAACGUGUCUAGCGGUGGAGAGCUAGCGCCUUAAGUACAUGCCAUCGUGGCAGCCGGAGAGGUUUUGGCACCCAGUUCGCGUGAUGUCGUGGCCGUCGGAGGAGCGCUGGAGCCUGGCGGAAGGACAGCUGUCGGGGCUGUCGAGUCCUUGCUGACGUCCUCUUGCUUCCGUAAGGGGACUGAGAGCCACCGUCAUCACAGGGCAUGCGGGGCGCCAUCAUUACUCGUAUAGUGGAGCGAGCCAGAUGGGACACCGGUCUUGUUCCCCGUAGCCUGAGUCAGCUCGGGGUAGGGCAAUGAUGGCGCUUCCUGUUGACGUGGUCGGUCCAUGCCCUAGGUUGGGCGAGGUGGAGGCUCCUCCGAGGUCGAGGUCGAGUCUGUCUUCCGAGGUCGAGGUCGAGUCCGAGCCCCCAGGUCGGACAAGGCGGAGCCCGUCGGCUGAGGCUAGGGCUGAGUCCGAGCCUUGGGGUCGGGCGAAGCGGGGUUCGUCGUCUUCCGGGGCUGAGCCCGUGUCCGAGCCCUAGGGUCGGGCGAAGCGGAGUUCGUCGUCUUCCGGGGCUGAGCCCGUGUCCGAGCCCUGGGGUCGGGCGAAGCGGAGUUCGUCGUCUUCCGGGGCUGAGCCCGAGUCCGAGCCUAGGGGUCAGGCGAAGCGGAGUUCGUUGUCUUUCGGGGCUGAGCCCGAGUCCGAGCCCUGGGGUCGGGCGAAGCGGAGUUCGUCGUCUUCCGGGGCUGAGCCCGAGUCCGAGCCCUGGGGUCGGGCGGAGCGGAGUUCGUCGUCUUCCGGGGCUGAGCCUUAGUCCGAGCCCUAGGGUCGGGCGAAGCAGAGUUUCCUAUGACGCCUGAGGCCGGACUUGGCUGCUGUCAGCCUCACUCUGUCGAGUGGCUCAGCAGUCGGAGCGGCGCAGGCGGCACUGUCCUCUUGUCAGACUGGUCAGUGGAGCGGCGAAGUGACUGCGGUCACUUUGGCUCUAUCGACUGGAGGGCGUGUGUCAGGAUAAAGGUGUCAGGCCACCUUUGCAUCAAAUGCCCCUGCGAUUUGGUCAGUUGGCAAGGCGAUUUGGCCAAGGUUGCUUCUUGGUGAAGACUGGGCCUCGGGCGAGCCGAAGGUGUGUCCGUUGCCGGAGGGGGUCCUCGGGCGAGACGUAGAUCCUCUGGGGUCGGCUGCCCUUGCCCGAGGCUGGGCUCAGGCGAGGCGUGAUCGCGUCCCUCGAAUGGACCGAUUCUUGACUUAAUCGCACCCAUCAGGCCUUUGCAGCUUUAUGCUGAUGGGGGUUACCAGCUGAGAUUUAGGAGCCUUGAGGGUACCCCUAAUUGUAGUCCCCGACAGUAGCCCCCGAGCCUCGAAGGGAUUGUUAAUACUCGCUUGGAGGCUUUUGCCGCAGUUUUUUGCAAGGGGCCAGCCUUUUUUUGUUGCAUUUUGUUCCGGUGGGUGCGCGCGAGCGCACCCGCCGGGUGUAGCCCCUGAGGCCUCGGAGGAGUAGUUUGACUCCUUCGAGGUCUUAGUGCGUUUUGCAACACUUCGGCUGGUCUAGUUGUUCCCUCAUGCGAGCUGGCCGUAGCCCGGGUGCACGGUCGGGUCCCAAGUUCUCGGGCUGGUAUGUUGACGCUGUCAACGGGUUGGCCGGAGCCGGGUUUGCGAGAGAAGCCCCCGAGCCUCUGCACAGGGCGAGAGGACGGUCAAGUACAGACUCGACAUUUUUACAUACGCCCCUGCGUCGCCUUUCCGCAAGGAGGAGGGGGGAAAGCGCCAUGUUGCCCUUUGAGGGCGCCGAACAUGGUGUCUCCGGUGAGCUGUUGGCGGGUAAUCCGAGUGGACGCCCGUGCCCCAUUUGUUAGGGGUCGGCUAGAGGCCCAGAGGCGCGCUCCAAAAAUAUCUGCGGGUGAUUUGCCGGACCCGGUCCCCUUUUGACGGGGUCCGAGGGCUCGAUGCCUCCCUCUGAUGGGAUUCCGUUACAAGAUCGUUCCCGCUGGUCUCAGAAAUGUCCUAGGGUACCUCGGGAGCGUAGCUCGAGCCUUGGUUAUGUAUCGAACGUACCCAGGGUCAUCCCUCGCUCUGUGUCUGAGGCGACUGUGAACCCGUCGAGGGCCAGCCUACGAACCCCUGAUCAGUAGUGGGCGCGGAGCCCGAGUGGCCUGAGGCGGCCGUUGAACCCUUCCGAGGGGCCGGCCAUCGAGCCUCUGACCAGUAGUGGGCACAGAACCCAAGCGCUCUGAGGCGGCCGUUGAACCCCUCCGAGGGGCCGGCCUUUGAACCUCUGAUCAGUAGGGAGGCUCGGGGCCUGUUUCCUUCACGGAGAAGGAUCCUUUUCGGGGUAUCCCCCUUUCCCGGUCCCUGUUAUAAGAGAGAGAAAGAGGAAAAGGAAAAGAAUACGAAAUCGAAUGACGUGGCGUACCUUUUUCGACGCGGUCAUUAUGGCGAUGGCGAAGCCUCGCUUGCUUCUCCCGCCUGAGGCGCCGCCUAUCCCGCCGCGGAGUUAAUGCGACGGGGCGAGUGGUUCGCGAGGCGGUCGUUGCGUGUGUGCGAGCCGUUCGAGGAACGGAUCACGGGCGCGCCGUCUUCACGCCAUGAGAGAGGGUUCUCUCGCUGCCCCUGGAUGGGACGUAAGCUUGGCUGACGACGUGACCGCUGCUCCUGCCCGCCUACCACCGCCAUUACUGCCGGCCCAUUUUUGACCGUAUUGAUCGUCGCGCCUGGCUAGCACUGCUGGGUCAUACGCAGGGUUGCCUCGAGUCGCGGUGCUGGUUCCGCAGUCGAGGAGUCGCGGUAGUGGUGCGAGUGGCGGUGUUGUUGCUCGCACGUAGCAACCGGCACGCCGGUUGCAUGACGCGUGGGCCUGGGCCUUCAUGCUGGGUGUGUUGGAAGUCGGAGGGGCGCGCCCACUUGGCACGGUUGCAUGCCACCUGCAUGGCUGUCCGCCCUUUCACCCACUGGUCUGGGUGAAAGUGGAGGAGUGCUUGUAACCAGCGGGCGGUUGCAUGCACCGCGCGCGGCGGUUUGGCUUCUUCUGCCCUUGACCGGCUUGCAUGACGCGUGGGACCCAGCCCCCGCGCCGUAAGGGGAGGACCUUGGAGUGUGUUGGAGAAGACUCAGCCCGCGAUGGCUGAGGACGCAAGCGGGGAGAGUCGCCUUUAAAAGGAGGGUGACCUCCUUGAAAGGCGGCCAUGUCUUCGCGCUCCCUUAUGCACCGUGUCUUUCCACCUUCUGAGCCCCCGGAUGGGGGACGCCCGCAAUCCUUCCGUCUUAUCAUCGGAGGAACGCAACUUCUUGGAAGUUGGUACCUUUCGGCCAUCGUUCGGCUUCAAGGAUUUUCAUCAUGCAGCCCGGCUGCAUCCCCUCGCCGGUGGUCACCCAAGACGGUGACCACCAGCCUCUGGGUGGGGAGGAGCAAGCCAGACUGCGAUCUUGGUCCCGCCCUCAGCUUCAAGGAUGUUCAUCAUCCUUGCUGGGGCGGAGGCCGGGCUGAGCCAGAGCUCUACCUCCCGCGCGAGUUCGUGGGUCAGCCUCCCCUUCAGCAUUCAAGGGAGAGGGCGCUCACUGGCCCUGCGAGCGGGGCGGACUUUGACAACGCGGGGCUGGUCGACGGCGGGCGUCGCCAGCUUCAGCACGUUGGGCUCGCCGGCUUGGCUCCCGGUGCCCCCUCCCGCCGCAAGGGCGGUUGUCGCACCGUGCGCACGGGUGGACCUCCCAAGACAUCGCGCGCCGCUAGAGCGACGUUCGUGUUCUGGGGCUGUCUUGCCUUUGCACCGGUACGGGGCCUCCGCGCGGAGGUCGGUGCUCCGCUCGUCUGGGAGGAUCCGAGUGGGGAUCUGCCGAUGGGCUGACGCUCCGGUCGUCGGUGCCGAGGUGGAUGCGGCUCGAGAAGUCCCCGUCGCCGACGGGAUCACUGCCACCAUCCGCGCUCCGGGCCUCCGGCUCUUUGUACUUGUCCUCGCCCCUCGAGCGUCGGCGUGGGCGAGGGCAAGGUUGCAGCGGCGUCCGCCCUGAGGCCAUCGUUGCGGCUGUGGGGACGGAACCGGAGUUCCGUUUGUAUUGGCACUUUGAAUGCCGGUGUUUUGUUCAUUGCGGCUGUCGGGGCCUGAACAUGUAUGUAUUCUCGGCGCGGAGCCAUGUUUUUUCUUCAUUUCGAGCACUAAGACUCGCCUGUUGGUUAUCAGAACCGCUUCACCAAGCCUGAGUCGCCUCGUGCGAAGGUGACGAGUGAGGUAUCCGUAUCCCAGAGGCGUAGGAGUCCCUCGGCUCGGUCGGCCUUGCUGUCCGAGGCUUCUCUUGCUUAUUUAAAGGAACCCUCGGUCGCUCUUCGAUGAGCCGAAGCCGGAGGUAGCGGUAUCAGCACGGACAGAGGCAGAGUUGGCUUCAAAAAGAAGAUGUGGUCGGCCGGAGCCUGGCCGGGUUGUCCACUGGCGGGACCGACGCCGGAGUUGAGCUGCCGAGGCCACAAACCGGGCUGAUAUCUCCGGGGGUCAGCCGGCCGAGGCCUCAGGGUGGCCGGCCGAGCCGUCUGCUCGAGCCGGAUUCCUGGAGAAGAGAUCCUUCAGAGUAGAGAUCCUCCAACCGCGUCACCGUCCGAGGCUAGGUCGGACCUCACCGAAGGUGUGGUUGACGCCAAGGGUGCUGCUGCCCCCUUCAACUGUCGACGUCCAGGCCUGCAGGAUCGGGUUGUCUUGUAGUGUGUGUAUGUUUUCUGCAGCCGCCGAGGCCCAAACACACUAUUGUCGUGUUGUAAAGCUGCAUUUCUUUUCCUCUUGUUUCGAGUACCCAGACUUAUUUGUUGGUAACAGAAUUGUUUGUGCGGGCGAGAGUUGCUUUUUACGGAAGGUGAUGAGUGAGGUAUCCGUAUCCCGGAGGCGUAGGAAUCCCUCGGCUCGGUCGGCCUUGCCGCUUACGCGCACUCUUACUCGUCCAUAGGGUUCUGUCACCGACGCAGUCGAGAAUGCUCAAAAAAUCGUUCCGGCAGAGAAGCUUUCGAGCGUGAAGACUUGUUCGGUCCGCGGAAUCACUUAUCCGAGCGCGAGUUACUUAUCGCAGAAGGUGAUGAGUGAGGUAUCCGUAUCCCGGAGGCGUAGGAGUCCCUCGGCUCGGUCAGCCUUGGCUGCUUACGUGUACUCCGUCGUUUUCAAGAUCCACUUUCGAAGUAGUCGAAAAGCACGAAAGGCAUUCUGGCAGGAAAGAUUUUUUUCUUUUUUCGAGGAAAAUUUCGACGCAGAGGGGGUUCCCCCCUUCUAGCCCCCGAGGGAGGGUCGGGCUUUGCCGAGGCAAGGCUGACCUUUCCUUGGCGACCAGACUUUGUGUGUGAACGGGGUGUACGAAUAACUUGGAAGCAUCUUAAGGGUAGAAGCGACGUAGCUAUUGGAUGUUCCAAGCGUUACUGUAGACCUCGCCUUGACUGUUGGCCAGCUUGUAUGUUCCGGGCUUCAGAACCUUGGUGAUGACGAACGGCCCUUCCCAGGGAGGCGUGAGCUUAUGCCGCCCUCGGGCAUCUUGUCUUAGCCGAAGCACCAGGUCGCCCACCUGGAGGUCUCGGGACCGAACCCCUCAGGCGUGGUAGCGUCGCAGGGACUGCUGGUACCGCGUCGAGUGUAGUAAGGCCAUGUCCCGAGCCUCCUCCAGCUGGUCCAGCGAGCCUUCUCGAUUAGCUCGAUUGCUUUGGUCGGCGUAGGCCCUCGUCCUCGGGGAACCGUAUUCUAAGUCUGUGGGCAAGAUGGCCUCGGCCCCAUAGACUAGAAAGAACGGUGUGAAGCCCGUGGCUCGGCUCGGCGUUGUCCUCAGACUCCAGACCACCGAGGGGAGCUCCUUCAUCCAUCGCUUGCCGAACUUGUUGAGGUCGUUGUAGAUCCGAGGCUUGAGUCCUUGUAGAAUCAUGCUGUUGGUACGUUCUACCUACCCAUUCAUCAUGGGAAGAGCCACGGCGGCCCAGUCCACCCGGAUGUGGUGGUCCUCGCAGAAGUCCAGGAACUUUCUGCCAGUGAACUGGGUGCCGUUGUCGGUGACGAUGGAGUUCGGGACCCCAAAGCGAUGGAUGAUGUUGGUGAAGAACGCCACCGCCUGUUCGGACCUGAUGCUGUUUAGGGGUCGGACCUCGAUCCACUUGGAGAAUUUGUCGAUGGUGACCAGCAGGUGCGUGUAGCCCCCGGGUGCCUUCUGCAAGGGGCCGACUAGGUCCAGACCCCACACGGCAAACGGCUAGGUGAUGGGUAUGGUCUGCAGAGCCUGAGCGGGCAGGUGGGUCUGCCUCGCGUAGAAAUGACACCCUUCGCAGGUGCGGACAAUUCUAGUGGCGUCGGCCACCGCCGUCAGCCAGUAGAAACCUUGUCGGAAGGCGUUUCCAACAAGGGUUCGAGGUGCUGCGUGAUGGCCGCAAGCCCCCGAGUGUAUCUCUUGUAAGAGCUUCUGACCUUCGGCGAUGGAAAUGCAUCGCUGGAGGAUGCCCGAGGGGCUGCGGUGGUAGAGCUCCUUCUCAUCUCCCAGCAAGACGAACGACUUGGCGUGCCGCGCCACUCGCCGAGCUUCGGCUUGGUCGAGGGGUAGCUCUCCUCAGUGGAGAUAUUGCAGGUACGGGGUCUGCCAGUUUUGAUUAGGCGCGUCCCCGCUCCGCUCCUCCUUGAUGUGCAGUGCCUCACCCUCGAGGGCCAAGGGUGGCAUACCGAGGGACUCCACUCGAAAACGUCGACGUUUGCACGGAGAAAGUCGACGAGCACUGCUUCCUAUUUGGGGUCGAGCUCGGAGCCGAUCCGGAUCUGCUUGGAGGCGUCGUUGCAGGGGUCGAGAGGGACGGACUUAACCGUCUCCGCUGGCUCGAAGUUGCCGGCGUGGCGCUUCACGUCGGGCGCCUCCCUAGAGAGGCUCUCCAGGUCGGCGAUGAGGGCCUCGGACUCGGCGAGGGCCUCGGCGUACUCCACGCACUCCACGUCGCAUUCGUACGCUUGUCGGUACGUGGGCCCGACAGUGAUGACCCCGUUGGGGCCCGACAUCUUGAGCUUGAAGUAGGUGUAGUUGGGGACGGCCAUGAACUUGGCGUAGCAUGGCCUCCCCAACACUGCGUGGUAGGUUCCCCGAAACCCGACCACUUCGAACGUGAGGGUCUGCCUUCGAAAGUUAGAGGGCGUCCCGAAGCAGACGGGUAGAUUGAGUCGUCCGAGGGGUUGGACGCGCUUCCCGGGGAUGAUACAGUGGAAAGGCGCAGCGCCCGUCCGGACCGAGGUCAGAUCGAUCCACAGGAGCCCAAGGGUCUCGACGUAGAUGAUGUUGAGGCUGCUGCCUCCGUCCAUGAGGACCUUGGUGAGCCUGGCGUUGCCGAUGAUAGGGUCGACAACGAGCGGGUAUUUCCCCGGGCUCGGCACGUGGUCUGGACGGUCGGCCUGGUCGAAGGUGAUGGGCUUGUCGGACCAGUCUAGGUAGACUGGCGCCGCCACCUUUACCGAGCAGACCUCCCGACGCUCUUGCUUGCGGUGCCGAGCCGAGGCGUUUGCCACUUGCUCACCGUAGAUCAUGAAGCAGUCGCAGACCUCGGGGAACUCUCCUGCCUUGUGAUCUUCCUUAGCGUCGUCGAGGGCCUUGCCACCCUCCGCGGGUGGCCCGGCCUUGUGAAAGUGGCGUCGAAUCAUGGCACACUCCUCAAGGGUGUGCUUGAUGGGCCCCUGAUGAUAGGGGCACGACUCCUUGAGCAUCUUGUCGAAGAGGUUGGCACCUCCUGGAGGUUUCCGAGGGUUCUUGUACUUGGCGGCGGCGACAAGGUCCGCGUCGGCGGCGUCGCGUUUCGCUUGCGACUUCUUCUUGCCUUUCUUCUUGGCGUCGCGCCGAGUUGACGCCUCGGGAACAUCUUCCGAUGGGCGGCCCUGGGGUUGCUUGUCCUUCCAGAAGAUGGCCUCAACCGCCUCCUGGCCAGAGGCGAACUUGGUGGCGAUGUCCAUCAGCUCGCUCGCCCUGGUGGGGGUCUUGCGACCUAGCUUGCUCACCAAGUCGUGACAGGUGGUGCCGGCGAGGAACGCGCCGAUGACAUCCGAAUUGGUGACGUUGGGCAGCUCGGUGCGCUGCUUCGAGAAUCGCCGGAUGUAGUCCCGAAGAGACUCUCCUGGCUGCUGGCGGCAGCUUCGGAGAUCCCAGGAGUUUCCAGGGCGCACGUACGUGCCUUGGAAAUUGCCGGCGAAGGCUUGGACCAGGUCGUCCCAGUUGGAGAUCUGCCCCGGAGGCAGGUGCUCCAGCCAGGCUCGAGCGGUGUCGGAGAGGAACAAUGGGAGGUUGCGGAUGAUGAGAUUAUCAUCGUCCGUUCCACCCAGUUGGCAGGCCAGCCGAUAGUCCGCGAGCCACAGUUCCGGUCUCGUCUCCCCCGAGUACUUUGUGAUAGUAGUCGGGGUUCGGAACCGGGUCGGGAACGGCGCCCGUCGUAUGGCGCGGCUGAAAGCCUGCGGACCGGGUGGUUCGGGCGAAGGACUCCGAUCCUCCCCGCUGUCGUAGCGUCCCCCACGUCUGGGGUGGUAGCCUCGGCGCACCCUCUCGUCGAGGUGGGCCCGAUGGCUGUGGUGAUGGUGCUCGUUGCCGAGGCGACCCGGGGCCGCAGGCGCUGUGUUGCGCGUGCGCCCGGUGUGGACCGAGGCUUCCCGCAUGAAUCGGGAAGUCGUGGCGCGAUGUUCCGAGGAGUACCCCUGCCUUCGGGAGGCGGAGCUUUCGGCCCGUCGGAUCGCGGCGUCCUCCAGGAGAUUCUUGAGCUCUUUCUGGAUACGCCCCCCUCGGUGGUUGAUGGCUCCGGCAUCGCGCGGAGAAGUAUUGCUGCUGCAGCUAGGUUCUGGCCGACUCCACUGGAAACCGGUGGCGGCCUUACCCCGACGUCGUCGGCGAUGCGGUGCUGGAUGCCCUGGGGGAGAUGACAUGCUUCUCCGGCCGGAGGUUGGCCCGCCCAUUCCUGCCCGAUGUCCCGGCGGAUCGGCACAAGCGUUCCUGCUCCCUCGUCGAGCCUGGCCUGCAUCUCGUGGACUUGCUCGAGCUGUGGGUCAGGCCCCCCACCGGGACGGGGACCACAGCUAGCUCCCGAAGGAUGUCGACGCGAGGCACGGGCCUAGGGGGAUCACCGUUCUUCGGCAUACCAAGAUGGUUGCCUUCGCCGGGACCCCCUAGAUCGACGUGGAAACAUUCACGACUUGGGUCGCAGUCCUCGUCGUCGAGGCUGCGGCUACCGUCGGAACAGUCGGAAAGGCAGUAGUCGCAUGCGGUCAUGAAGUCCCGCAUGGCACUGGGGUUACCAAGUCCGAAGAAAUCCCAACAGAGGUUGGGCUCGCCAUCUUCCUCGGACCCCGAGGGCCCGUAGGUCGAGACGGCCGUCAGCCGGUCCCAGGGUGACCGCACACGAUAUCCCAGAGGGUUUGGACUCGCCUCUAUGAGAAUGUCCACCGAAGCAGAGUUGCUAGGCGGGUCGAGGCCCAAUCCAAAAGGCGUGAGAUGGGAAUCAGUCGGUACCUUUUGGUCGACGGGCGGUGACGAAGUCACGUCAGGGACUGACUGCACCGUCGUCUCUGGUACGAGGGUGACGCCCAACAAGUCCUUCGCGAGCAUGCUGGCGUCGUCCGUUUGCUUGAGGUUGGUGUGUUGCGGGGAGACGGCGCUCGUCUUCGUCUCAGACACGAGGUCGAUGCCCGACGCGCUCUCUGUUGGGGCGCCGACGCCGUCGACUCGCUCGACAGCCAACGAGGUGCCGCCUCCUGCUUGGCCUUGGUUGCCCCGCCUCCUCCUCCGUCGGCGGGGGAGGGGACGGGACAAGCUCGAAUGUCAUCCUUCCACCACGUGGGGAAGGCGUCGUCGAUUUCCCCGCCGGCGGGCGGGUUGUCGACCGCCAUUGUCGCUGUCACGCGGCGGGGGAAGGAGUAUCAUGUCGUAGCUGCCGUCGAGGGACAUGAACUCAAGACUCCCGAAACGGAGCACCGUCCCGGAUUGGAGAGUUGCUGUAGACUGCCCAUCUAGAGCUUGACGGGAAGCUAUUCGUCAACACGCAGCAGGCCCCUACCUGGCACGCCAAAUGUCGGUGUUUCGAAACCCGGGGGGUCCCUGGACCGACGAGUGAAUCGUCGCCGCGUGCCCCAGCCCAGAUGGGUCGGUGCGAGGCGGAACGCGAAGGGGGGAGAGAGCAGCCGGAGGGAGACAGGCGUGGGAGGUGGAACCCGCGGCCUUCGUGUUAGCCCCGCGCCCAGGUCGGGUGCGCUUGCAGUAGGGGGUUACAAGCGUCCACGCGGGAGGGAGCGAGCGGCCUUGCGCGAGCGCCGUCCCGUCCUUCCCCGCGCGGCCAACCCUCUGUAAGAGGGCCCUGGACCUCCCUUUUAUAGGCGUAUGGAGAGGAUCCAGGUGUACAACGGGGGUGUAGCAGUGUGCUAACGUGUCUAGCGGUGGAGAGCUAGCGCCUUAAGUACAUGCCAUCGUGGCAGCCGGAGAGGUUUUGACACCCAGUUCGCGUGAUGUCGUGGCCGUCGGAGGAGCGCUGGAGCCUGGCAGAAGGACAGCUGUCGGGGCUGUCGAGUCCUUGGUGACGUCCUCUUGCUUCCGUAAGGGGACUGAGAGCUGCCGUCGUCACAGGGCAUGCGGGGCGCCAUCAUUACUCGUAUAGUGGAGCGAGCCAGAUGGGACACCGGUCUUGUUCCCCGUAGCCUGAGUUAGCUCGGGGUAGGGCAAUGAUGGCGCUUCCUGUUGACGUGGUCGGUCCGUGCCCUAGGUUGGGUGAGGUGGAGGCUCCUCCGAGGUCGAGGUCGAGUUUGUCUUCCAAGGUCGAGGUCGAGUCCGAGCCCCCGGGUCGAACAAGGCGGAGCCCGUCGGCUGAGGCCAGGGCUGAGUCUGAGCCUUGGGGUCGGGCGAAGCGGGGUUCGUCGUCUUUCGGGGCUGAGCCCGUGUCCGAGCCCUGGGGUCGGGCGAAGCGGAGUUCGUCAUCUUCCGGGGCUGAGCCCGUGUCCGAGCCCUGGGGUCGGGCGAAGCGGAGUUCGUCGUCUUCCGGGGCUGAGCCCGAGUCCGAGCCCAGGGGUCGCGCGAAGCAGAGUUCGUCGUCUUCCGGGGCUGAGCCCGAGUCAGAGCCCUAAGCGGAGUUCGUCGUCUUCCGGAGCUGAGCCCGAGUCCGAGCCCUGGGGUCGGGCGGAGCGGAGUUCGUCGUCUUCCGGGGCUGAGCCCGAGUCCGAGCCCUAGGGUCGGGCGAAGCGGAGUUUCCUAUGACGCCUGAGGCCAGACUUGGCUGCUGUCAGCCUCACUCUGUCGAGUGGCUCAGCAGUCGGAGCGGCGCAGGCGGCGCUGUCCUCUUGUCAGACUGGUCAGUGGAGCGGCGAAGUGACUGCGGUCACUUCGGCUCUAUCGACUGGAGGGCGUGCGUCAGGAUAAAGGUGUCAGGCCACCUUUGCAUCAAAUGCCCCUGCGAUUUGGUCAGUUGGCAAGGCGAUUUGGCCAAGGUUGCUUCUUGGUGAAGACUGGGCCUCGGGCGAGCCGAAGGUGUGUCCGUUGCCGGAGGGGGUCCUCGGGCGAGACGUAGAUCCUCCGGGGUCGGCUGCCCUUGCCCGAGGCUGGGCUCGGGCGAGGCGUGAUCGCGUCCCUCGAAUGGACCGAUCCUUGACUUAAUCGCACUCAUCAGGCCUUUGCAGCUUUGUGCUGAUGGGGGUUACCAGCUGAGAUUUAGGAGCCUUGAGGGUACCCCUAAUUAUGGUCCCCGACAGUAAGUGACCACUAAUUUAUGUUGAUGGACAUUUUUCAAACAUUAGGUCCAACUUACCUGAAGUAUGUCAUUGAUCUUGCACCUAGGGAUUUUCUAUAGAUAUCUAAGAUCAGUAUAUCCAACCAUAACCAAAUCAUGAGUGCUCUUAGAGAACAUAACUCAAUCUCAUGUGUUGCUAGCUAGCAAAUCAUUGCAAAGCAAUAUCCGACCGGAUGCUAUUGCAAGAUACAACAUCACAUCUCAUGAUCCGAGAGAACCAAAUAACCAUGAUUCUAUCAUAUUGAGUUUCUUCAAUAUAUGUUGGAUAUAGACAACUUCGUAUCCAAGAUUCUCAAGAGAGUUUACUUUGAAUUAAAAAUCUCCUUCAAUUCAUAUCCUCUAUUUUAAAUCCCCUCAACAAGUAAUGUAUGUUUAAAAAUGUACCGCACACACUUACACUAAACAUACCGUUCUUCAUGCAUGUAUCCCUUCGUAAGUGUUGGGGACUUGUUCUCAAAUGCUUCGGUCUUGAAGAAUACAAGUGUGAUGUGAAGGCAAAUGACAGGUUCGUGUGAACAGUACGGGGGUACUGUUCAUCUAUUUAUAGACACAGGACGCAGCCUGUGACGAAUUACAAUUAUGCCCUUUACAAAAGUUUACAACAUUAUCUUAGACCUCUAUGGAUAAAAAGGUCAUUCUAUCUUUAUGUCGGUUUGCAACGCCGAAGCUCUAUAAAAAGGAACCUUCGGCCAUUUCCUGGGGACGAUUUCAGCCGAAGCUGCUUCUUCACGCAAGACCUUCGGCGCAACGAAGCAUGGGCCCAACAGUAGCCCCUUUCGCGGCGCUAGAUCGUUUUUCGUAACGAGCUUGAACCGUGAAAAAAUCCUCUCAAGCUUCGGGAAGCCGAAGGUCCAAAAAACACCUUCCCUGAGCUCGUUGCCGAGAAACGAUUCAUUUCCCGAGAUCGUGUCGGUCCCACCUUGCAGAGUCACUGUUUGGUCUUUGCGGUCCACUGUGCAGCGAGUACAAGUUACUGCCCGCCUGGUGUAAAAACCCUGCCGCUUCGCCUUCUUACCUGCAGCACUAUAUAAACAGACGAGUAGGUGUGAAGUUACCACAGCAUUUACUGCUAUUUGCACUGUUUUGCUGCCAAAAUUUUUAACCAUCACCGAAGCUUGUUUGUCAGGUUUGAACGAAGCUCCAUCUUGAAGCCUGCUUCGGAGAAAAAAGUAUCAAAGUUUCACAAGUUCAUAAUUAAAUGGCCAGAGUUCGCUCUACAGCUAGGGUUGAGCGUGAGGGGAACGAAACUGAAGCUUCGGAGACUGUGCCCAUCUCCGAAGCGAUGCAGCGCUCCGGACUGGUGACUGCGGAAGAAAUGCCUGCUGCCGAAGCAAACCCGACAACUGCCGAAGGAGAAGGGAACAUUGAAGAAACCGACUCCGAAGAUGACUACCGUAUUGCCAUGCCCAGCAAACCCAGCCACCUAGACUUCGGAAAAUCGACUGUUUCAAAGGUUGAUCUCGCCAAGAUGGUGAAAGCAGGUUUUUUCAGUGAAGAUCAGAAGAAGCUACUUCGCUUCGGGGGAGAAGAGACCACCCCGAAGCCAGAGAAGGACGAGGUUGUCAUCUUCAAAAGCUUUUUAAAGGCUGGGCUAAGAUUCCCUGUUCACGAGAUUGUUGCGGAGAUAUUGAAGAGGUUUGGCAUCUACCUUCACCAGUUAACUCCUAACGCUAUCGUUAGGCUUAGCGUUUAUAUUUGGGCCCUCCGAAGCCAAGCAGUGGAGCCUUUUGCUGACAGUUUCUGUCGAGUUCAUGAAUUGCAUUAUCAAACAAAGGCCAGAAAAGAUGGGCUUCAUGAAAACUUCGGUUGCUACAAUUUUGCCUACCGGAAAACCGCAAAGUUUCCUGUAAUCAGCUACCGAAGCAAAUGGCCGGCAGGCUGGAAAUCAGAAUGGUUCUAUGUCAAGGUUGAUGAGGACAAGGAGAAGCUUGUGCAAAGUCCACUCGAGCUAACUUUCGGAGAAACCCGACCCCACUGCAACAUGACACCAGAGGGUCAAACUCAACGGGCAAUGGAUGAGUUCAGAAUCAUUGCAGAGCAUAUUGGUACCAGGGAUCUGGUUCAAGAAUUCUUAGCAUUCAAAGUCUUCCCUACUCUGAAAAAAUGGGAAAUGCCAAAGUUAAAGGGGGAGAAGAAGGAAGGGGAUCUUGUCCGGCUUCCUUACCACUUCAAAUUCAAGAAAUAUUUUAAGAAGCCCUGCCAAGAGUGGCUGGAUACAGUUGAGGUGAUGUGUAAUGAAAUUCUUGGAAAUUAUUCGAAAAAAGAAGAUCAACUGAUGACAGCAGCCUUCGACACCCGUCCGAAGCGAAGGCUGAACUGAGUGCUUGAUGCACUGGGUUUCGAAUAUCCUGAUUAUGCGCAGCUGAACAAGGGUGCUGAGGGCCAGAGAAGAAAAAGAGCGGCCGAAGCUUUAAACAAGGAUGAAGAACAACCACCAAAAAAGAAGAAAACUGUCAAGAGAAAAAUAUCAACUCCAAAGCGAAAACUAUCCGAAGAAGAGGGGACCCCCACACCAUCUUCUACUAGCGACGUGGAGGAAAUUCUAAAGGUAAUGACUGAACCCAUGCCCACGAAGCUAAGUCCAUUAGGGCCUCGACUGACGAAGCUUUUUCAAAAGGUGGCGGAGCCGGAAAAAACGAAGAUAGCCAAAGCGAAAAGGCAAAGAAUUAUUGCCGUAACAGAAGUUAUUGACAAGACGCCACCGAGGGCGUCAAUUCAGAAAACACCAGCUGUUGGGGGCACAGAAAAUGUCGAAGUCGCACCUUCGGAGGUCGCGGCUACCGAAGCCGCUACAGCCGAAGAUGUAAACUUAGAAUCUACUAUUGAAGACAUCAACAAAAUUUUAACAGACAUGGCUGCAGAAGAAGCUGCCACCACUGCUGAAGAAACCAUGGCCACAGUGCCUGGGAAAGGGAAAGAAAUAGCCGAAGACACUUCGGACGACGAAGCCUACUCAUUUCAAAAUUUAGUCGGGCAAAAACUGUCGAAGGCCGAAAAAGAAGAGCUUAAGGAAUACGCCAAAUCUUGCGGAUACAAGCCAGGAGCUCUUCUAUUUGGAGGCAUUGAUGAUGAAAAACUGGGCUGCAUCCGGGACUCAGCUGGGGCUAAGGUCAUCGGUACUCUAUCAAAGAGUAUCGGUUUUCCGAAACUAGAGACAGACAUCAGCCGCUACCGACGACAACAUAUCGUCGGCAGCUUAUUUUAUUCAAAUUUCAAGGUAAACAUCCUUCUCUCUAACUUCUAUUGUUUUUUAAUAAUGGCAAUAUUCUUUAACGAAGGUUGUUUAUUUGCAGAGCAUGCUUCUAAGCAAAGCUUUGAGGAUGCAGCAAGAUCUAGAAGAUAAGAAGCACGAAGCUAUAAUUGAAAAUUUAGAGAGCAAGAUAAAAGAACAAUCAGCUAUUAUUGAAAAGAAAGACUUCGAACUUCAAUCAACCGAAGGCUUGCUGGCAGAGACUGAAGCCAAAGUAGCAGAAUUGAAUUCGAAGCUUCUCUGCCAAUCAAAACAAUUUGAACAAGAGAAGCUAGAACUUGAUUCGAAACUUGAAGCCGAAGUCCAAGCCAACUCAAAUUUGAAGAAAUCAUUAACAAGCCUUCAGGAUAAAUGUUUGAAUUUUAGCAACAAUUGUAUCCAACAACUAAAGAAGAUCUUUUACUCAGUUGGAGCCAGCAGCGGGAAAUUUACCCCUUCGGAUGAAGAUUUACCAAAAGCCUUCGAUUAUAUCGAAGCUGAAAUUGAAGAACUUGACGAAGUUAUAGCUGGGCACAGUGACUUCUGUGCCUGGGUAGCUUCUCGGGGUACUGCUGCAGCAUUCCUGAAGGCUGGCUGCGAGCAUGGAAAGAUUGUCAACAGGCCCAACUUCGCCCUGUCUCCAUCAAUUCUCGACGACAUUCCUGACCUCGCCCGGAGCAUCUCAAAUAGAUUCAUAAAAAUGAUAUGGACAAAAGGCGGGCGAGAGAAGGCUGGGGACGAAGCUCGAAGUCAUCUUGAACCAGUAAGAAAUCAUACUUUGUACUUACCUUCUCCUUCACACUUGAUUUUUACUCGGGAUACCUUGAUUCAUGUAGGAUGACGAAGCUGAAGGUGAUACUUAAAGGAUAUGCCGCCGAAGCAGAAACCUGACGAAGAUUAAUAGGAGUAGACUAGAAAAAACUCAGGAGAAUUUGUAACAACUUUUUGUAAAUACAAUUAAUCUAUUCUCAAGGAACUUUGUUCAUACCUUGUAAUAUAUUCUUACCCUUUUAUUGAGACGCUUUGAUGUGGACGAAAUCAGUAUUUUGAGCCGAAGGCGAAAAAACACCUUCCCUUCUUUUCGUACACAACGAAGCAUAAAAGACCAUUUCUUCUUUUUGCCAAAGCUUUUCUUUUUUGUACAUGACGAAACAUAAAAGACCGCUUCUUCCUCUUGCCGAAGCUUUUUCUUUUUUGUACAUGACGAAACAUAAAAGACCGCUUCUUCCUCUUGCCGAAGCUUUUUCUUUUUUGUACAUAACGGAACAUAAAAGACCGCUUCUUCCUCUUGCCGAAGCUUUUUCUUUUUUGUACAUAACGGAACAUAAAAGACCACUUCUUCCUUUUGCCGAAGCAACCACUUAGGAACACAAAUGCUAUGAAUGAAUGCUUAUGAAUGCAAAUGCUAUGAUGUAAUGUGCGAAUGAAUGUCCAAAGCAUAUAACCGAAGCCACACUCAACCAUUAUUUCCUUGGAAUCAACCACACAUCAGCUCUGCAUUCCCUUAGGAACGACUUUGGAGCUUCCUCGUCUUUUACUUAGACGGUAUAAACUCUGCAUUCCCUUAGGAACGUCUUUGGAGUUUCUUCGCCUUUUACUUAGGCGGUAUAAGCUCUGCAUUCCCUUAGGAACGUCUUUGGAGCUUCUUCGUCUUUUACUUAGACGGUAUAAGCUCUGCAUUCCCUUAGGAACGUCUUUGGAGCUUCUUCGCCUUUUACUUAGGCGGUAUAAGCUCUGCAUUCCCUUAGGAACGUCUUUGGAGUUUCUUCGUCUUUUACUUAGACGGUAUAAGCUCUGCAUUCCCUUAGGAACGUCUUUGGAGCUUCUUCUCUUUUUUCUUUUUCAGUUUCUGCACUCGAUGGUGCGUUCUCAGCUGUUACAUUUACAUUUUUUGGGGGAUUUUGCUCUUAUAAGACUAAAAAAGGAAAUUACACAUGAUGGCCCCAUUAAAAACCUUUCUCCCCCUUCGGAAAGGAAAAGGGUGCCAUGAAAAAGAAAAGAAAAAACAUAAAAAAUUACAUCAUGUUAUACAUAGUAUCGCCGAAGCUCAUCCGCAUUCCAAGACCUUGGAAUUUCGUUGCCAUCCAUGUCCUUCAAUCUGUACGAUCCAGGCCUUGACGAAGAUACUACUAAGAAUGGUCCUUCCCAUUUCAACUGUAGCUUACCCACUGUAUCUGGGUUAGCCACUCUCCGAAGCACCAAGUGUCCCGGCUCAAUAUUUUUUAGCCGGACUUUUCUAUCUCGCCAUUUAACUGUUUCAGCCUGAUAUUUAUUGAUAUUCUCCACGGCCUGAAGCCUGAUCCCUUCUAAAGCAUCCUUUUCCACAAGGCAAGCAUCUUCGGGACCUGAUUCUGCCGAAGCUACUACUCUUAUUGAUCCAGCUUUUGCUUCCUCCGGAGUUAUUGCUUCGUCACCGAAUAAUAAUUUGAAUGGGGUAAAGCCUGUAGACCUUGAUGUUGUUGUAUUGUGGCUCCACACCACUUUGAUUAACUGAUCUGGCCACUUUCCCCUGGGUUGAUUGAAGAUUAACUUCAUUAUUCCUGUCAUUAUAAUGCCGUUGGCCCUUUCAACGAGCCCAUUUGACUCCGGAUGCCUGACUGAUGCAAAAUGGAUCUUCGUUCCAAUUUGAUCACAGAAAUUUCUGAAAGCUUCGGAGUCAAACUGCGUUCCAUUAUCUACAGUGAUUGCCUUCGGUACCCCGAAGCGACAGACAAUAUUCUGCCAGAAAAACUUUUGGACAGUGGCCGAAGUUAUUGUGGCCAAUGGCUUCGCCUCAAUCCACUUGGAAAAAUACUCCACAGCCACUAUAACAUAUUUUAGAUUCCCUUGAGCCGGUGGUAAUGGACCCAACAAGUCAAGGCCCCACCUUUGCAAUGGCCAGAUGGGUUGUAUCAGCUGUGUCAAAGACGAAGGUUGUUUUUGAUCUCUUGCACAUUUCUGACAACCUUCGCACUUUUGCACUAACUCCGCCGCAUCCGAAGCUGCCUUCGGCCAAUAAAACCCUUGGCGGAAGACUUUCCCAAGUAAUGGCCUGGAUCCGAUGUGGGAUCCACACAGGCCUGCAUGUAUCUCUUUCAUCAACUCUAUACCUUCGGCUCUAGAUAAGCACUUGAGCAGCGGAGCGCAAACUCCAUGUUUGUAUAAUUCCCCUUCUAUCAUGACAUACGGACGAGCUCUUGCCUCUAUUCUUUUAUUGUAAGCUUCGUCAUCUGAAAGGAACUUACCCUGAAGGUAAGAGAUUAUUUCAGUUCUCCAAUCUUCGCUGUAAACAUGAGAUAUGUUGAGGACUGCUCUUUCAAGGAGCUCCACUGAAGGUGCCUUUAUUGUUUCGAAGAACACAUCCGAAGGUAACGGCAGCCCCUGUGCCGCAGACUUAGCUAGCAAAUCAGCAUGCUCAUUUUGUCCUCGAGGGAUAUUCUUGACAGAGAAUCCUUCGAAGGAUGCUUCGAUCCUUCGGACCAUAUCUAGGUAUUUUUCAAGCUUCGGAUCUUUAGCCUUGCAACUUUUGUCAACAUGACCCGAAACCACCUGGGAAUCAGUUUUAAGAAUUGCCCUUCUGAUUCCCAUUGCCUUUAAUUUCCGAAGGCCCAGAAGCAGGGCUUCGUACUCAGCAAUAUUGUUUGUGCAGCUGAAAUCAAGUCUUGCUGCAUAACAAGUUUUGACCUUGGAUGGUGAAACCAACACAGCAGCUGCACCUGCUCCGAAGAUUCCCCAAGAUCCAUCACAAAAUACUGUCCACACCUCGGCAUCUUUAUUUGCUUCUUCAUCCUGAGCCCCUGGCGUCCAGUCGGCAAUGAAAUCUGCCAAUGCUUGAGACUGGAUCGAAGAUCUAUGCACAUAAUCAAUGCAAAAUUCGUUGAGCUCUGCAGCCCAUUUCCCAAUCCGUCCAGUAGCUUCUCUAUUUCUCAUUAUAUCCUUCAACGGCUGCGAAGAAGGAACAAUGAUAUUGUAUGCCUGAAAAUAAUGCCGAAGCUUCCUGGAUGCCAUUAAAACGACAUAUAAUACCUUCUCCAGCUCUGUAUAAUUUUUCUUUGAGACACUAAGGACCUCAGAUACAAAAUACACUGGGACUUGCUUCUUGAGCUGGCCAUCAAGCUUCUCCUGGACAAGUGCCGCACUUACUGCUGAGUGCGAAGCUGCCACAUAUAACAACAGAGGAGCCCCUGGCAUUGGUGGAGUUAAUGUUGUGAGAUCUAUCAAGUAUUGCUUCAACUCUUCGAAGGCUUUUUGUUGACUUGGGCCCCAUUGAAAGACUUCGGCUGACUUCAGCACCUCGAAAAAUGGUAAGUUUCUUUCUGCUGAUCUGGAUAUAAAUCUGUUGAGAGAUGCCAGCCUUCCUGUCAAUCUUUGGGCCCCUUUUCUUGUAGUUGGUGGCUCCAUUCGAAGUAUAGCUUCGAUUUUAUUUGGAUUAGCUUCGAUUCCCUUUGUUGAAACCAAGCAUCCAAGAAAUUUACCCUUCUUUACUCCGAAGACACAUUUCUCUGGAUUCAGCUUCAAACCAGCUUGUCUGAAGCUGGCGAAGGUCUCCUGCAGAUCAGCAAUAUGAUUUUCCUGCUUCGUGCUUUUGACGAUAAUGUCAUCAACAUAGGUCAACACAUUUCUGCCUAUUUGAGACUGAAGAACCUUCGCAGUCAUUCUGCUGAAACUUCCUCCAGCGUUUUUGAGCCCUUCAGGCAUCCGAAGAUAGCAAUACGUGCCACUUUGAGUUAUGAAGCUAGUUUUCGGCUCAUCUUCCUUUUUCAUCCAGAUUUGAUGAUAUCCUGAGUAACAGUCCAAGAGACUCAUGAGCUCUGAAGAAGCUGCUGCAUCGACUAGAGAGUCUAUCCUUGGCAACGGGAAUUCGUCCUUCGGACAAGCCUUGUUGAGAUCUGUGAAAUCGAUACACAUUCUCCACUUGCCAUUGGCCUUCUUCACCAUAACAGUGUUAGCUAGCCACUCUGGAUACUUCACUUCUCUGAUAACUCCUGCACUGAGGAGUCUUUUUACUUCAUUGCGAGCCCCUUCGGCCUUGUCAUCAGACAUUUUCCGAAGCCUCUGCUUUCGGGGUCUGAAGGAUGGGUCAACAUUGAGCGAAUGUUCAAUAACAUCCCGAUUUACUCCACAGAGAUCAUUAGCCGACCAUGCAAAAACAUCUUUGUUGUUGAAUAAAAACCUUAUCAAGGUUUUCUCCUGGUCUUCAGAUAAUUGCGAGCCCAACAGCACCUUCUGCUCUGCUAUGUCCUCACACAAUAGCAUGGGCUUCGGCUGAUCUGCUGAAGCUGCCUUCUCCCUUCUGAAUUUGUACUGUUCACAAGCUUCGGCUCCAUCUAUAUUAUGAAUUGCUUUGGAGUCAGUCCAGUUACCUUCGGCCCUUCUUGCGGCUUCCUGACUUCCAUGGAUAGCAAUGGGUCCCUGUUCCGAAGGUAUCUUCAUGCAAAGAUAAGCAGGAUGAAGGAUUGCUUCGAAGGCAUUAAGAGUACCACGACCAACAAUUGCAUUGUAAGGAUAUUCCAUGUCAACAAUGUCAAACACAACUUGCUCAGUUCUAGUGUUGUUGAUGAAUCCGAAGGUCACUGACAUGGUGAUCUUGCCCAGUGCUACAAUCUGUCUUCCUCCGAAGCCACAGAGAGGAUGUGUAGCAUCAUGAAUCUUAUCUUCUGGCUCUUGCAUUUGUCUGAAGGCUUUAGCAAAUAUGAUGUCAGCUGCACUGCCUGUGUCAACCAAGACAUUGUGGACCAGAAAUCCUUUGAUAACACAAGAGAUAACCAUGGCAUCGUUGUGUGGGUAAUCUUUGAGCUGAAGGUCCUCCUGGGAGAAGGUAAUAGGAAUGUGAGACCAUCUUGUCUUGAUGAAGGGUCCUUGCACCCCAACAUGCUGUACCCUCCUCUGUGCUUCCUUCUUCUGUUUCUUGUUAGCUGGCUCUGAGGACGAGCCACCUGUGAUCGGUAGCACCAGCUUCGGGUCCGAAGCAGCUCCAGCUCGGUUGUUGAACGAAGCCAUCAGCUCAAAAAGUGGAAGUGAGUUCACCGGAGGUGGGCGCCAAUGUUGGGGACUUGUUCUCAAAUGCUUCGGUCUUGAAGAAUACAAGUGUGAUGUGAAGGCAAAUGACAGGUUCGUGUGAACAGUACGGGGGUACUGUUCAUCUAUUUAUAGACACAGGACGCAGCCUGUGACGAAUUACAAUUAUGCCCUUUACAAAAGUUUACAACAUUAUCUUAGACCUCUAUGGAUAAAAAGGUCAUUCUAUCUUUAUGUCGGUUUGCAACGCCGAAGCUCUAUAAAAAGGAACCUUCGGCCAUUUCCUGGGGACGAUUUCAGCCGAAGCUGCUUCUUCACGCAAGACCUUCGGCGCAACGAAGCAUGGGCCCAACAGUAAGAAAGGAUUCACUAGGUCAAUUGUACCAUAUUCGACUGCGAUGCUCUAAGUCACAAAUAUUUUUCAAGCAUUGCAAAUUUAUGAUUGGUGAUUAGGUAUUUGAAAUCCUUCAAGACUCCACAAAUAUCAUAAUACACUGACUACAUAUGCAUAUGUUGUCACUACAUCUUUCAACUGCACAGAUAAAUGAUUUACUACCAUAAUAUUGUAUCGUAAUUUUACUACUCAUAGUAGAAGGAGAAUUUAUAGCAUUUAAAUAAUGCUUGGGUUUGCAUAAAAACCCAAUUGCUAGUAGCCAUGCUUUCUCACCACCUCAUUGUUGUCAAGUCCAUGAAAACAAACUUGUAUCCAUAGUAAGAUACCAUGAAAUGAAAAUAAUUCAACACUUCUUUCUGGUGAGCAAGGCUAUCUCUGCAACAUUUUAUCACUCAACAAGAUCUAGUUUGAGCAUACUCAUGCUCUGCUAUAGCCAGAGUCUUUUGGAUCACUUGAAGCACAUAUACAAUUGUUGAGAUGUAUGUGUCGACACUUGUAGCUUUCAAAUAACACAAUUCUCUAGUUGAAAUGAAGUCAUUUUCUUAUGCACUCUUAUGAUUCCUCGUGAAAUCCCAAAACGAGAAUCAAAGGUUUCCGAUACCCUAGCCUCAUCAGCGUGCACUGAGCUAGGUUGUGAAUGUCAUCCAUUCACAGGAUCCAUAUCCUCUAGGUAUCCACCAACACUAGGUUGGUUACCAACUAGUUGGUCUGCAUUUACUAUCUCAAAAGGUCUAACCUUCAGCUGCUUGCAAGCAUCUUAAUCCUAAUCUUUAACCAUACUUCUCCCCCUCUUAUUUACAACCGUGUUGCAAUAGGGAGUUAAGUGGUUUUCCAUUUAUCCACUCUUUCUAGCACAUUCGACAUAGGAUUAAUUUGAGUGACACCUCAUAGUAAAUGCACAUGGUAGUCGAUUUGCACCUUCUUGCAAAUCAUUUGAACCCAAAGGUUCAGUUUUAGUACGUGAUCAUGAGCCUGGAUGCUUAUUGUAUUCCUUCUAAUUUCUUGACAUUCUUUCUAGUACUUGAAAUAUCUCCCUAAUGCAUGGAAAAGAUCAUGAUUCAAGUUAGCGUAUGGGUCAUAAAUAGAUUCUCACAAAGAGAUUUUAAAUACUUAAUGAUCGGCGGAUAAUGAAUUCUCACAUAGAUACCUAGCUUUCUGUGUGCCCAUACUUGUACGCUACGGUGGCGAGAUUGGGAAAACAUCCCAAUGUAUGCAUGGGAAAUCUUUGAUGGAUUCCCACUUACUAAAACCAUAGGAGAACUUGUACGUGCAGUACAUGUAGUUAAUCAAAAGUCAUGAGCGUGCAAAACUACCUGAUUCCAUCCAUAACUAGUUGGAAAUGACAAUUAAUUACUAAUAGUCAUGAACUAUUUGAAAUGUCCGAAUCAUAGAUUUCUCAUAUCCAUUAUGGGUAUCAUUCUGAAUACCAAGGCAAACAAUCGUCAUUGUAAGCAUAUUUAGUAAAUUCAGUAGUGUGGAGGCUAAUGUUCUCAAGCUUGAGACAUUAUUAUUUAAUGGUCUCGUGUUGUCCGAAGGACACACUCAAGUCAUCAUAUAGAUGCACAAUAGAACCAUGUAAGGCCUUCAAUGUCCAUACAAUCUCUAUAAUGGACCACACUUGUACUUUUGAAAAUAAUUCAAAGAACCUAACCAAUUUAGAUCUGAUUUUAAGGUAAGAGGGAAUUAAAAUCUUAUUCUCGAUGAUACUCGUAGAGUAUCCAUCCCAUGGGAAACUGUUGGUGUUAAGUACUGGCAACACGCAACCAGGGUGGCCACAUAGCGCUUUUCUGAGGAAGGCAACGACGAUUGCAACUCGAUGGUACGUGCAAAGCACGUUAGAGACACAAGUGAUUGCUUAGGUUCAGACCGCACUGUGGCAUAAUAUCCUACAUCAUGUGGUUUCUGUCUAUGUGCGGUUGAGUCCUCUCUGGAAUACAUGGAAUGUCUCGUUAAGGAAUAUGAGUUCUAUGGGUGUCUAUCUCGUCUUCGUAGGGUCCACACUUUAGCCUUAUUGCCGACUGAACUGGGGUUAUAGAGAAACUACCACGAGUCCACGAUCUCCACGUUUCAUUUGUUCUGCCUCCCGUCGUGCUGGGCUACGAUCAAACGAGUUUUCUGUCAAUUUCCGCAUCCUGCACGUACAAGAGGCGACGAGUUUCUCUCGUAUGUGCAAUUGCAUCUUUCUCAAACUCCAACGGUUGUCGUCCGACUGAGGCCCAUUGGGAGGAUUUCGGGUGGCCCAUCAAGGGCCAUUCAGAUGGCUCAUGAAGCGUCUCCGGGCUGUGGUGACCCGGGGGGAUAUCUACCCCCACAAAAAACUAUGGCCAAUAAAUUUGUUCAUAACUUUUUAUUUCAUCCCAGUGAUGAAAUGACCAAUUCAACCUUACCCAGCAUGGUAAGCAUCUUCAGAUGAAAACUUACAACAAAUGCAAUACAUUGUACGAGAGGAUAUGUAGAAUACAAUUCAUAAGAAAUGUUUUCAAGAAACACAUGCAAUAUCCAUCAUCAUCUUGUGUUUCCACAUGAUAUAAAUUAUAUGGAUAUCUCUAUAAGUUGGUAAGAUAAAAUUAGGAUAUAGAAUCUACCUAAUAUAGUGGGCUAUUUUAUUUGGAAUUUGAUAUUUCACCACAUUCUAAAGUUUAAAUAUAAGCCUAUAUCAAAGUCAUAGGAUGUGAUGGUGGAAAUUGAUUUUAUAUAUCACUAGUCUAUAUUUUUACUCCGUAGCUUAUAACACGCUCUUCGUCUCGUUUUCCUAUAGUAAAAAUGUAGCAAAUAAAUAUCUCCAUCAUAUGGCUACAUGUAGUAUACAUAUAUAUUUUAUAUAAAACUGUAUUAGCUUAACUGAUUUAUGUAUAAAUUACGAUUAUUAGAAUGAAAUUCAAUUCUAAGCAUCUAAAUGGGCAUAAUAGCAUUUACACUUCUAAUUUGUUUGUAUCCGUUGUCACGGUCGAUUUAAACUGUUUGAGAAUGACGGUAGCAAACUAGCAUGAAGUAAGGAUAUAAAUGGUAUAAUUAAAUCUGAUCCGUUUAAGAGGGCUAAAAUUUAAUCUAUAUCCAAAUCCGAGUAUUCAAUAUUUGAUUAGUACUUGUAUACUUAAAUUUGGAUAUUUAAGAUGUUGAUAUCUAUUUAAAUCAUAUUCACUAUCGGAAUCACGUUCUUUGUCGAGUGUCUAAGACACUCGGCAAAGACUAUUUUAGACUCGGCAAAUAUUUUAUCGGCAAAGGGUUCUUUGCCGAGUACUUUUUCGGACAUUCGACAAAGACUUUGCCGAAUGUCGAAAAGCAAUUUCUCUCGCGCAUACCCUCCUAUACCACUACACUACUACACCAAUUAUGUCUAUAUUACGUUUUCAUUUCCCAUGUACUAUAACAAACCAAGAGUAAUUUGAUUAUUUAAGACACUAAAUGAGUUCAUUUGAAAAUGUGACCAAUUAUAAAGUUGCAUAACUUUUUGAGAUCUAUAAGUUUUAUUUUAAUAGUUUCUACAUCCGAGACCGUUUACAAAAUUUGAAUUUUAAAUUUGAAAAAUUCACACGAAUUUUUCAAUGAUAAGAUGAUUUCAAAUCAAAAGUUGUCAAUUACAAAGUUUCAUUACAUUUUAAGACCUACAACUUAUAUUUUGGUGGUUUUUCCAUCCGAGAUAGUUUGAAAUUUUCAAAUUUCAAAAUUUAAACAUAGUUUUGCAUAACAAGAUGAUUUCAAACCAAAACAUUGUCAACUACAAAGUUUCAUAACUCUUCAAUACCUACAACUUUCUUGUUGGUGGUUUUUUCUUUCGAGGUCGUUUUCAAAAUUCAAAUUUUAAUUUUUUUUAAAUUCAGACGUAGUUUUCGUUCACAAUAUGACUUCAAAUGAAAAAGUUGUCAACUACAGACUUCUAUAACUUCUCAAGAUCUACAAAGUUUAUUUUGGUUGUUUGGUCAUUUAUUUAUCUCACAUGAUGGUUCUAACAAUAUGCAUAAAUUCUAUACGUCUCUCUCGUAGUUUCAUAAACUACGAGAGAGAUAUAAGUUUUAUAAACAAAUUUAUUUUUAUUUUGUUAUAUGAAGAAAUGUUCAAUAUAUAAAUUGUAUAUCAUGAUGAGUUAUACAAAUUUGUAGUUGAAAACUUUUCAUUUGAAUUAAUUUACUACUUUAAAAUGUGAUUUUAAAUUGUCUUUGCCUAGUGUUAGAAAAAAACACUCGACAAAGAGCUUUUUGCCGAGUGUUGUAUUUGUGACACUCGGCAAAGAGCUCUUUACCGAGUGUCAAAAGAGUUUCUUGCCGAGUGUCAAAAAUAAAACACUCGGCAAAGAGCUUCUUCGCCGAGUGUUUUCUUUUACCGAGGGUUUUUUGUGUGGCACUCGACAAAGAGUUUCUUUGCCGAGUGCCCAAAAAAAGUACUCGGCAAAGAAUAUGGCACUCGACAAAGAGCCAAAUUCCGGUAGUGAUUAGACACAACUCAAAUAAUAAAUGUAUCAUAUCCGAACCUAAAGAGAAAAUAUGAAAAUAAACACGGAACCAUGAUAUCCAUCCAUAUUACACUGUUUCCCGUGGUUCCCGAGCGCGGAUGCGAAAACAGGUGACGCAGAGAUGAGCUUGUCCCGGAUACGGCUAGAGAUGGCCAAACGGGCCGCCCGACCCAUUUUAGGCCCGGACUGCUAGGCACGAUUAGUAAACUAGACCGGACUGUCUAAGCCCGUGGGCUCGUUUCCAUGUUCCAGCCCGGCCCGCUGCGAGCCUAAAUGGACUGGGCCGGUAUGGUACGCACGGAAAAAGCGGGCUAAAAACGGUCUAAACGGACCGGUAAGCACAGUUUACUGCAAAAAAGCGGGCUUGACGGGGCUUAUAGGUAAACGGGCCAUGCCAGGCUAACCCGUCGUGCUUAGUUUCCUGUCGGAGCCCGGCCCGAGCCUAUAUAAAAGCGGGCCAGACCGGGCUCGUUCCGGGCCAAAAAUACAUGAUUCGGACCCGUCUUUGGUGCUUUAUGUACAUCUAUAGAUAGCCUUUAUCCCAACGCCUAGCGAAAAGAGGGGGAGAAGGGAGGGAAUAUGCAGAUUUGAGGGAGAGAGAGGGAGGGGAUGCCCCUCUUUAACAACCACAUCCAGUGGUUGUUGGAUGACGCUACAGUUGCGGCGUAUGUCGCUAAAACAAUAUAUUCAAGACGCGUUUCGCGUUCUGUUGGAAUCAGCAUGAAGCUGAAGCCAUGAACACAUAGCCUCACUAUCUUUUUAAGCGAAAACGAGUUCUAUAGAAAUGCACGUGUGCAUACAAGCAGAAAGGAGAAGGCCUGGAUCACCACCAUACCUGCUAGCGACACAGCAGGUACAAAGUCAGCUUUUAUAAAAAACUGCUUCCUGAAUCCAGCCAUUUGGGUCUAGAUUUUAGUUUUUAUGGAGCAAAAGCCAAACCAAACACAUUUUAAGAUAGGGAUUCAGAUGUUUUCUUAACAUGCGUGAUAACAUCUUUUUUUUAAUUGUAAUACUAGGGGACAGUGUUAACCCCACAAAUCGAGUUUUUAUUUGUAGGGGAGAAAUAUCGUAAUAACACAUCUGUACGUGCGCCUGACAUUUAUUUUAUUCCAUCUCGACUGGGAAGGGACACCCAAUCAAACAUGCAAAACAACAGCAAGAGCUAGCUUAUUGGUGGCUGCCUGCCUGCUUAUAGCAAGGCGGACGGACGGAGGAGCAUGGAAGGAUCCAUCGGCUGUGCCGCUGUGGAUGAGUCUAGUGGAUCUUGCAGCCGCAGUUUUCGGGGAGGAAGUCGCGGCACCUGUACUUGGUGGUGCCCUUGUCCGUGGACACGGGGACGCAGUUCUUGCAGGUGGCGGCGCACUUGGUGAGGAGGUCGUCGCAGGUCCACACGCCCGACCAGCUGGUGCACUCGCCGCACCAGCACUGCUUCUUCGUCGUCGGCCCUGCGCGGCAGCAUCAUGCGUACUCGCUUUAUUUCGUCACAUGCACCCCGCACAUAUAUACGCGCAGAUUAACUGUAUACACACGAGCUAGCAGCGUCCAAUCAAGCUAGCAGCCAGCUAGAUGAAAUCUCGGCAAGCACACGUACCUGC
rnacentral:lncRNA from 1 species